AAGGUUCUUAUGCCAUUAUGAGCUUAUUAUGGCAUUUUGGAGCUAAAUGGGCUAAUUAUGUCAUUUUUGGGGAAAUUAAAGCAAGGAUAAUAUGAAAUAGGAGAAGAAAUAGGAGGAGGAGAAGAAGAAGAAGAAAUCAAGAAGAAGGAGGAGAAGGAGGAGAAGGAGGAGGUGGAGAAGGACUAGAAGGUCCUUCGCCUUCUCCUCCUUCUCCUCCUCUUCCUCCUCCUCCUCCUCCAUAUCCUUCUUCUCUUCUUCUUCUUCUUCUUCUUCUUCUUCUUCUUCUUCUUCUUCUUUCUUUUAAUUUUUCCUAUUUCUUAUCCUCUUCUUGGAGCUGAAAUACCUAAUUAUGUCUUUUCGGAGCUAAAUGGGUUAAUUAUCUCUUAUUAGAGGAAAACAAGCUAAGUAUAUAAUAUUCAUGAGCUAACCAAGGUUAUUAUGCCAUUUUGAGGUUAUUAUGGCAUUUUGGAGCUAAAUGGGCUAAUUAUGUCUUUUUGGGGAAAUUAAAGAAAGGAUAAUAUGAAAGAUGAGAAGAAAGAGGAGGAGGAGGAGAAGAAGAAGAAAUCAAGAAGAAGGAGGAGAAGGACUAGAAGGUCCUUGGCCUUAUCCUCCUUCUCCUCCUCCUCCUUCUCCUUCUGCUCUUCUUCUUCUUCUUCCUUCUUUUCAUUUUUCCUAGUGGAUCUUCCACGGCCACCACCUCUCCCUGUACCCUUCCCCUUCUUCCCUACCCGACCAGCACCUCUCCCAGUGGGCAAUGCCGCCGACGAAGAAGAACCCACGGGUGGUGUCGACAGACUGUAUGUCAAGGCUCUAUGGAGAGAUAGGGGUGGAAGGGAAGUACCACCCCUCGUGCGGGGCGCCUGGGAAGAACCCGUCGAGCGAUCUGGACCAGCGCCCACCAUCUUUCCACACCUGCUGACAUGCCAUGAUAAAGAUUAAAAGAAAUUAGUAAAACAUAAAAAAAUUGAAUAACUGACAUGAAUAAUACUAUGNNNNNNNNNNNNNNNNNNNNNNNNNNNNNNNNNNNNNNNNNNNNNNNNNNNNNNNNNNNNNNNNNNNNNNNNNNNNNNNNNNNNNNNNNNNNNNNNNNNNAUUCUUCAAGUAAGCUAUUGAGUGAACGUUGCGCGCGGCCCAUUGCGACCAUCUCGAUUCUAUUUUCUUCCCUUUUUCCAUUUUUUGUGCUAUUUUUACUUUUUAUGUAACAACCCGAGUUUUAAAUAUGUAUAUUUUGCGCUAUCAGCCAUCAGAUCAAAUUGAAUUAGGAUUUCAAGUAAGUAUCCGGUAAAUGUUGCGUGCGGUCGGUUGCGACCCAUUUUUUGGGUGUUUUUGAUUGUCCUCACGGCUGUUAUGACAUUGCUAUUUUAUAUAAAAAAUGGAUUGAUGGGCAACGACUGUUGAGUCGUCUUCUUUUCAUUUUUUCGGUUGCAACAAGCAAGAGGAAAGGACACGGCAUUUUGGGGAGACAGUGAUGGUUUCUUUUCUUUGUUCCUUUUUUAUUUUCAAUUUAUUUUACUUUUCAAUUUCUGUUUUCAUUUCUAAGUUUUUUCUUUAAUACUUUUGACAUUCUUUAAGAACAGUUGCAAACCGUGGCGGUAGGGGAUUUGUGGGGGUUAGUUGCAUGUGUCAAUCUAAACAUGCAACUACAAGCAUUUUCUUCUCAAUUGCAACCACACGGGCACAAGGCGACUACAACUAGAUCGAGAGAGGAGUGAUAGGGUUAGUUGGAUGUGUCACCCCUAAACAUGCAACUACAAGCAUUGUACCCCUAACUGCAAAUGCACGGGCACAAAGCGACUGCAACUAGGGUCCGAAGGGGAGUUGUUGGGGUUAGUUGCAUGUGUCGGUCGUAAUCAUGCAACUGCAAGCAUUGUACGCCAAACUGCAACUAGGGUCAAGAUGGGAGUUGUUGGGUUAGUUGCACGUGUGACCCCUAAACGUGCAAUUGCAAGCGUUGUACCCCCAAUUGCAACUACAGGGACACAAGGCGACUGCAGUUAGGGUCGGGGGAGGGGAGUUGUUGGGGUUAGUUGCAGGUGUCACCCCUAAACAUGCAAUUGCAAGCGUUGUCACCCCAAUUGCAACUACACAGACACAAGGCGACUGCGGCUAGGGUUGGGGUCGGGGGAGGGGAGUUGUUGGGGUUAGUUGCAGGUGUCACCCCUAAACAUGCAAUUGCAAGCGUUGUCACCCCAAUUGCAACUACACAGACACAAGGCGACUGCGGCGAGGGUUGGGGUGGGGGGAGGGGAGUUGUUGGGGUUAGUUGCACGUGUCACCCCUAAACAAGCAAUNNNNNNNNNNNNNNNNNNNNNNNNNNNNNNNNNNNNNNNNNNNNNNNNNNNNNNNNNNNNNNNNNNNNNNNNNNNNNNNNNNNNNNNNNNNNNNNNNNNNUGAAUUCCAACUUGAAGAAAAGAGAAAUCUGUAUGGACCAAAUUACUCAAGAUCUCGUGCAUUGAAGGAAAAAGUUGUUUCCUCAUCUGAAGAAGAAGAGUCUGAGUGCAACCUUGGUGAUCCUGAAGAUCUUGGUCAUGAACUUGCUAUGCUUGUGAGUAAAUUCCAAAAGUUCACAAAGCGUGGGCAAUUCGGAAAGUCUUCAAGUAGGGAUAUGAGGAAAUCAGAUUCCUCAUUUGAAGAUUACAAGAAGAGAACUUGCCACAAAUGCAAGUAAUCUGGUCACUAUAUCGCUGAUUGUCCUCGUUGGGUGAAGGAAUCGAAGAAGAAGAAAUACAAGGAUGAACGUUCUGACGACGUGAAGAAAAAGAAGAAAUCCUCAAAGUCUUCAUCUUCAAAGUCCUCAUCGCACAAGAAAAGCUUCAGGAAGGUUCGGGCACUUAUUGGCAAGGAAAUGGACUCUGAAUAAGAAUCUGGUGAAUUUGAGGAAGAGGAAGGUUGUGAAGAGGAGUCUGAGUCUGUUGUGGCAAGUCUUGCACUAGCUUCCACUUUCGUCGGCAAGUCAAUCUUCAACACUGAAGAAAAUGACAACAUCAACAAUCCUGAUGACUGUGACGAGGACUAUGCUCCCGCAUAUUGCUUCAUGGCAAAAGGCUUUAAGGAUGAUCAACUCAAGAGUAUUGAAUGGGUCCUAGACAAUGGGUGUACAAAUCACAUGACUGGUGAUAAGAGCUUGUUGAUGAAUACCCCAUUGACUCCAUCACCAUUGAAGCACAUCACCUAUGCUAAUAAAGGUAAAAGCAAGGUAUUGGGACUUGGGAAAGUGGCUAUCUCCAAAGAUAGACACAUGGACAAAGUCAUGCUUGUUGAAUCCCUUGGAUUUAACCUCAUGUCAGUCUCAAUGCUUUGUGAUCUUGAUAUGAUUGUUGUCUUUGGAAAAUAUAGAUGUGUAGUCAUCAUGGAAUCUGACAUAUCCAAAGUCUUCGAAGUCUUUAGGAGAGGAGACUUGUACAUUGUUGAUUUCUCAACAGGUCCUCAACCAACCACAUGUCUUCUAGCAAAAACCUCAGAAAGGCUGGUUAUGGCAUCAACGACUUGGACACGCAGGCAUGAGGAAUUUGCACACACUUGCGAAGAAGAAGCAUGUCAUUGGCAUCGAAUCAGUCAAAUUCCUCAAGGACCAUCUCUGCGGUGCUUGUAAAUCUGGAAAGACAUUGAAUCAGUCAAAUUCCUCAAGGACCAUCUCUGUGGUGUUUGAGAAUCUGGAAAGAUGACCAAAUCCAAACACCCCUCGAAGACCAUCAUGACUACACUCGUCCAUUUGAAUUACUUCAUAUGGAUCUCUUUGGACCUACUCAUUAUGCUACUCUAACCAAUGCAGCAUCUCUAUAUGGCUUUGUCAUCGUUCAUGAUUUUACUAGAUAUACUUGGGUGCAUAUUAUUCUGUAUAAAACUGGAGUGCAGGAAGUCUUCAAACAAGUUUCAUCAAGAGCCUCAACAAACUUCAGAGUCAAGAUCAAACAUAUCAGGAGUAAUAAUGGGACUGAGUUCAAAAAUACAGGGCUUGAUGAUUAUCUUGAGGAACUUGGUAUUACUCAUGCAAUAUCUACUCCUUAUACUCCUCAACAGAAUGACAUCGUUGAAAGGAAGAAUAGGACUCUGGUUGAAAUGGGUCGAACCAUACUGGAAGAAUAUCAGACUCCUCGACACUUCUGGACUAAAGAAAUCAACACUGCGUGUCAUAUAAUCAAGAGGGUAUAUCUUCACAAAUUCCUCAAGAAAACCUCAUAUGAACUCCUCACAGGAAAGAACCCCAAUGUAAGUUAUUUCAAGGUAUUUGGUGUCAGAUGUUGGAUAAGAGAUCCUCACCAUAGCUCAAACUUUGCGCCAAAAGCACGUGAAGGUUUCAUGCUAGGUUAUGGUAAAGACUCGCACACCUACAGAGUCUUCAACAUCUAUCACCACAAGAUUGUUGAAACCGUAGAUGUGCGAUUCAAUGAAACUAAUGGCUCGCAAAGAGAGCAAUUGCCUCCCGUGACAGACGAAUAGACUCGUGAGGAAUCCAUCAAGCACAAAGCUACCGAAUAUAUUAUUCGUCUUGAAGAAACUCCUCUCGUUGAUGAAAUCAUUCCGAACCAUGAAGAAACUGCUGAUGGUGCUCCUGAGGAAAAUGCUCCAGAUCAAAUUCCUCAGCAAACACGAAGUCAUCAACCUACCCAUCCGAGAAUUGCAAACGAAGUGGAAAUCAACAAAAUCAUCAAUGACAUCGAUGCACCAGGUCCCCUCACUUGCUCAAAAGCAUCACAUUUAGCUAACUUUUGUGGGCAUUUCUCCUUUGUAUUCAUCACAGAACCCUCAAAAGUGGUUGAAGCUUUCAUGGAACUUGAAUGGAUUCAAGCCAUGCAAGAUGAACUUCUUUAAUUCAAGCUGAAUGAUGUAUGGGAACUCGUCAAGCGUCGUGAUCCUCGAAAGCACAAUGUCAUCAGCACAAAGUGGAUUUUUCGAAACAAGCAAGAUGAAGAUGGUCAGGUAGUGAGGAACAAGGCAAGACUUGUAGCCCAAGGCUACACACGGGUCAAAGGAAUUGACAUUGAUGAAACUUUUGCACCUCUAGCUUGACUUGAAGCUAUUUGUAUUCUGCUUGCUUAUGCUAAUCAUCAUAAUAUGAUACUAUAUCAAAUGGAUGUGAGAAGUGCAUUCCUCAAUGGUAAGCUUGAGGAAUUAGUAUAUGUUGCUCAGCCCCUAGGUUUUGAAGACCAAAAGCAUCCAGACAAAGUCAUGAAACUGAAGAAAGCACUCUAUGGCCUCAGGCAAGCCCCUCGGGCGUGGUAUGAUACAUUGAAGGAAUUUUUCAUGAAGAAAGGCUUCAAACCCGGUUCACUUGACACUACUCUUUUCGCAAAGUCCUAUGAUAAUGAAUUAUUUGUGUGCCAAAUAUAUGUGGACGAUAUCAUCUUUGGGUGUACUGACAAAUGUUAAAGUGAUGAAUUUGCUUAUAUGAUGAAUGAAGAAUAUCAAAUAUCUAUGACGGGGAGCUGAAAUUCUUCCCAGGUCUUCAAAUUCGUCAACAACGCAAUGGCAUCUUCAUCUCUGAGGAGAAAUACCUCAAGGACGUCCUGAAGAAAUUCGGCAUGAAUGAAUGAAGAGGCGUCAAAAUUCGAAUGCCUACAAACGGCCACCUCUCCACUGACGAAAAUGGUAUAGCUUUCGAUCAUCAGGUAUAUUGCUCCAUCAUUGGCUCUUUAUUGUUUCUAUGUGCAUCUAGGCCAGACAUUAUGCUUAGUAUUUGCAUGUGUGCAUGUUUCCAAGCAAAACCUAAGGAAUCACACCAUAAGGCAGUGAAACAUAUUCUUCGAUAUCUAGCUCACACUCCAACGCUUGGAUUAUGGUACCCCAAGGGCUCAAAUCUUCAUCUGGUUGGAUAUUCUGAUUCUGAUUAUGUUGGUGACCGUGUGGAUUGCAAGUCAACCUCAGGCACAUGUCAUUUCCUCGGACGCUCCUUAGUUUUAACCCAAGGGCUCAAAUCUUCAUCUGGUUGGAUAUUCUGAUUCUGAUUAUGCUGGUGACCAUGUGGAUCACAAGUCAACCUCAGGCACAUGUCAUUUCGUCGAACGCUCCUUAGUUUGCUAGUCAUCAAAGAAGCAAAACUCUGUAUCACGCUACACUGCUGAAGCUGCGUACAUUGCUACUAGAUCUUGCUGUGCUCAAUUGUCAUGGAUGAAGCAAACCCUCAAGGACUAUGGCAUCCACUUGAAGAAUGUGUCACUCUACUGCGACCGUGAGAGUGCCAUCAAGAUCGCCUACAACCCUGUUCAACACUCGAAGACCAAGCACAUCCAUAUUCGUCAUCAUUUUCUUCGUGAUCAUGUACUCAAGGGCAAUGUCAUCAUCGACCACGUGAAGACUGAUGAACAGCUAGCUGAUAUCUUCACUAAGCCCUUGGAUGAGAAAAGAUUUUGCACGUUGAGGUGUGAGCUAAAUAUCUUAGAGUCUUCAAACGUCUUGUGAAAAGCGCACACAUCCUAACACUUAUGCAAAAUUGAUGACUUAGAUGAGCAACACACGGAGUAACGUUUUUCUUCAAAUAAUGAUGAAAAACACUCUGAGUGUGAAGAAAUCAAUGCGGAAUAGGAUUCUCAAGGCCCUAGGACAAUUGUCAGCGGCUCAUGUANNNNNNNNNNNNNNNNNNNNNNNNNNNNNNNNNNNNNNNNNNNNNNNNNNNNNNGUCAGCGGCUCAUGUAAUCUACAUUCCUAUACGGUGGGUAACGCCACCACCAAAACUUUAAAAUUCCUCAAAAUUUUCAAUUUCAUCAAAAUUUCAAAGUAAUAAAAAAAAUUCAAAUUCAUCAAAUGUUUGAAAUCAUCAUGGCAUCAUGAAAUCAUCAAAAUAUCAUUGUCAUCAAUACUAUCAAUUUCAUCAACUUUUGAAAGUACUCUGUUUUCAAGUUCGAUUUUCCUCUAAGUGAAUGUGAUCGGACCCCGGAACCUCUAUAUGCUAUAGUCAAUCUAGUCUAUUCUCAAUUUCAUCAUAUGCGUUCUGAUUGAAACCUGUUCAAAUUCAUCACUGAGUCCUUGUGAGCUGAUGACUUUGUAACAAAUUCCUCUAAUCUCAAAAAAAUUCCGUUACUGCAAAAAACCGCACCCACCACCCACGAAUGGAUAAGCACUACCACCACUAACUCCACCGCUCAUUAUGCGGGCAACACGUGUCGCGAGGAGAGAAAAUGUCAGGGGCAGUUCGGUUCGAAAAUCUUGCACAUGAUCGUUUUCACCCCUGCUACAAAUACCACACUUUCCCCUUCAGAUGAAAACCUUGGUCUCUCUCUUGCUCCUCUCGCACUCAGUCACAGCGCUGCCGCUGAAUAACACCGUCGUCGGAGAAGAAGAGCUUCACUGGCUCGACUUCACCGUCGUCCAACUCACGCCGACCAUGAAAUUCCUCAAGUCGCCGUCGCCGUAGCUGAUCUCAGUCACUGAGUUAGGGCACUCGGGAUCUGAAUAGACGAGCUUCGUACUUCUCUUCCUCAGUUCGUCGUGUUCAUCUUUCAGGGUAAUUAAACUUUGAUUUUACAACCCUGUUGAGAUCUAUUAUUUUUACAAAUCUGUGAAAUCAGUUAUUCCUCAGAACCUUGAUGAAUUUCUGUAAGCCACCAAGCUCUUCACGAGAUUCCUCAAUUGUGCAAAUUUUCGAAUCUGCAUAACUCUGGAACCCAAAGACCACAAUGCUUGGUCAAAUUCCUCAAACACUGUCACUCGUCAAAUUCUUCAAACUUAGUAAAUUUUGAAAUUCCUCAAAAUCUGAGAACGCAUAUGACCUCUUCAAAUUCUUCGCACCUAUACUCUGUUCACAGGUACAAAAUGUCAGUUGAUGAAUCGCUAGGUUCUCAUCAACUUAACUCAUUUGCAGCGUUCCUUGAACAAAACCUUUCUGUGUCUUCAAAUUCAUCAAAGUAAAAAAUUCCUGAGUAGAAACAACAGCUGAAGAAAAUGGAAGAACAAAAGCAUCAGAAAGGUGGGAAGAAGCUUGAACAAAAUACUUCCAUGGAUAUUCCUACUGAUAUCUAUGAGGACUACUGCACACCUGAUGAAGAACUGUAUGGAAAAUAACCUCCUAUGAAGUGGAAACUUAGGCUUUAGAAGAUAGAGAGGAGGUGGGCACAAGAGUGGAAGAACUACAAAUUUAUCACUCCACGCCAUGCGAAGAAAUUCGUCAUCAAGGCGCCCUGCAUGAGACCACCACUUGAGGAUCAACAAUCAGCUCAUGCCUCAAGUGUACAAACCUUUGAGGACUAUCCUGAGGAAAAAGCCAAAUACUUGGCUAAAUUGAGGAAAAUGGGCAGAGGUACUAAUGCCUCAAAUAUAGCUGCUUCGGCCUCCUCCUCUGCAGCUGAAGCUGCUGCAACAGAAGCACGAUCCAAGAAAGUUCAUGUGAAGAAAGUCAUAGCCAAGUCAUCAAAAAUUGUCCCAAAGGCAUCAACUGCAUCAAAAUCUGAGGAAACUGUUGCAAAGUCCUUAACUAAUGCAACAAAGUCACCACAAGUGCCUCAGACAGCUACAGGGACCUCAAUUCCCUCAAAUCCAUCUACAAGAAGCUCUACCCCAAAACCCUCAAGUGGCAUCUUGAAGACAAAGGCCAUUGCUGGCAGAGGCAGCAAACCAAGCCCAAGGAAAGUCAUCGUCAAUGUUCCUUCUGAAUCAGAAGGAAAUGAGGAAAAUGACCUAGAACUCCUUCAAGCAAUCAUUAGAAACAAGCAAGUAAGGGUUGCUCAAGCAAUGGGCUCCCAAAUUACUCUACUGGUGGUCCCCAAGAUUAUGCUCAGAUUCAUCGACCAAUGGUAUGUGGACCCCAACACACCUGUUGAUGACUUAGGCCUUCUCCUGGCCUGAGUCACAUGGUCACCUCUUUCAUCAAUGAAACAAAGUGGAAGGCUCGGCAAGCUGAACAAGCCAAGAUAGCAAAAACUCAAAAGGAGAAGUAUCUGCACAAAAAAUCUGCUGAAUUUGACGUCAGAACAGCUUGUCUCUACACAAGUUGAGCUCAAAGUCGUCACUGAGAACAACACCACUCUUCUGGGCGAGAACAAAAGCAUCAAGGUGAAUUUCAUCAAAGCCACUUCCAAUGCUAUUGAUGACUACAACCAGAGGGAAGUAGCCAAGGAGGUCCCUCCAACUCCUCAGGUCCGCUACACAGUGCAACUCGCUGAUGAACCUGAUGAACCUGUAGCUGAAGAAACUGCUCCCACUGGAAUUGAAACUGCCUCCAGGGGAGUUGAUGAAAAUGUUUCAAAAGCAGCUGAUGAAACUGCUAGGCCGACCACCUCAUUUGCCGUGCCUGAUGAAACUGCUCCUUCACCAAAAUCCUCAAAGGUGAAGAGAAUCAAGCUACCUUCUGCAACAAGUGUGAAGAAAACAAAGGCAACUGAAAAAUAAUCUAAGAAGAGAAAGUCAUCAGAUGCAAAGCGACUGAAGACUUUGCCUGCUAAGUCAUCAAAGUCCUCGGCCCCACUAGACAUUACUCCCAUCAGUAUGGCAUCUCCUAAGAUGAUUGUGCCAUUUGUUGUGGAGUAUACCAUCCCUGAAGGGGAUGAAUAAAUGGAGGCGAAUCGCUAUGUUGCAUGAACUCCUCGAGAUGAGAAAUUACAAAUGGAUGAAAUUCCUCAUUCCACAGCUCCACCCCCGCAACAAUCUGAAGCAAAUGAAGAGUUCGUAGACAUUGGUUUCACCACACCAGUCUACCAUGAUGAAAUCUGGCAACAACAACAGAAUCUUCAAUCCCUUGCUACAACAGUUGUGCUUACUCCUUCUGAGGAAAGGAGCACUUCUACCAUGUCUGUCACUCGCUCAGUUGCAACAGGUGAAGAAAAAGGCCCUCCUGAAGAAAAAGAUCCUGAUGAAAAUGCACCACCUCAAGAUGAAGAACAUGAUCAAAAUCCAGUGCCUGAUGAAAAUGCUCCGGCACAGGAUAAUGCAAAUGUUGAUGAACAUGUGCCCGAUGCAAAUGCUACAACACAGAGUGAAGAAUACGCUGAGGACCAGGCUCCUGAUGGAAAUGCACCAACUCAGGGUGCAGAAAAUGAUUAGGAACCUCAUGUUGAAAAUCCUCAGACCGGCAUUGUGGUAGCACAACCACAACGUCACCUUGAUGGAAAACUCAAGAAAAUUUCUCAACCCAAACACGCUGAUACGUCUCCGUCGUAUCUACUUUUCCGAACUCUUUUGCCCUUGUUUUGGACUCUAAUUUGCAUGAUUUGAAUGGAACUAACCCGGACUGACGCUGUUUUCAGCAGAAUUGCCAUGGUGUUGUUUUUAUGCAAAAAUAAAAGUUCUCGGAAAGUACUGAAAAUUUACGGAGAAUUUUUCUAGAAUAAAUGAAAAAUACCUACGCAAAGAUCCACCAGAGCAGGUGUGCCAGUGGGCCACAAGCCCCUGGGUCGCGGCCACCCCCCUGGCCGCGCCGUGAGGGCUUGUGGGGCCCACGUGACGCUACCGCCUCCAAACUCAGCUUUAUUUAUUCCGUCUCGCCUGGAAAAAAAAUCAGAGAGAAGGAUUCAUCAUGUUUUACGAUAUGGAGGCGCCGCCACCUCCUGUUCUUCAUCUGGAGGUCAGAUCUGGAGUCCAUUCUGGGCUCCGAAGAGGGGAAAUCGUCGCCAUCGUCAUCAUCAACCUUCCUCCAUCGACAAUUCCAUGAUGCUCUUCACUGUUCGUGAGUAAUCUCAUCGUAGGCUUGCUGGACGGUGAUGAGUUGGAUGAGAUCUAUCAUGUAAUCGAGUUAGUUUUGACAGGGAUUGAUCCCUAGUAUCCACUAUGUUCUGAGAUUGAUGUUGCUACUACUUUGCCAUGCUUAAUGCUUUUCACUAGGGCCCGAGUGCCAUGAUUUCAGAUCUGAACCUAUUAUGUUGUCGCCAAUAUAUGUGUGUUUUAGAUCCUAUCUUGCAAAUUGUAGUCACCUACUAUGUGUUAUGACCCGGCAACCCCGGAGUGACAAUAGCAGGAACCACUCCCGGAGAUGACCAUAGUAUGAGGUGUUCAUGUAUUCACCAAGUGUUAAUGCGUUGGUCCGGUUCUUUAUUAAAAGGAGAACCUUAAUAUCUUGUAGUUUCCAUUAGGACCCCGCUGCCACGGGAGGGAUGGACAAUAGAUGUCAUGCAAGUUCUUUUCCCUAAGCACGUAUGACUACAUACGGAAUACAUGCCUACAUUAGAUUGAUGAACGGGAGCUAGUUACAUAUCUCUCCGUGUUAUAGCUGUUACAUGAUGAAUCACAUCUGUCAUACUCAUCCAUCACCGAUCCACUGCCUAUGAGUCUUUUACUACUGGCCCUUGCUACGUUAUUCUGUUGCUACUGUUGUUACUCAGCUGUUGCUGUCAGUACUGUUGUUCCUUGCUACUACUCUCACUACAGCUGUUACUCGCUACUUUGCUGUUACUUGUCGCAAGACUUUUCCAACACUGUUGCCGGGGAAGAAUAGUUCCCCGUCCACGUGCUAUUUAUUGGCGCCAUUGAUACAACAGUUAGGAAUAGUCUGCGAUCAACAGAUCUUUUUCUGACACCGUUGUUAUCAUACUACUUUGCUACUGAUACUUUGCUUGCAGACACUAAUCUUUCAGGUGUGGUUGAAACUGACAAAUUCAGCUACUAAAACUUGAGAAUAUUCUUUCGCUUCCCUUUGUAUCGAAUCAAUAAAUUUGGGUUGAAGACUCUACCCUCGAAAACUGUUGCGAUCCCCUACACUUGUGGGUUAUCAAGCUCCAACCCUUCUCCAAGAGGCCACAAUUUGUGAAGGAAACCUUCUAUGCGGAACAUAUCUUCUUCAUUGAUGAAACUCCUUAUAGCAAGUGUCGCAUCAGGCACCGGAGAUUCUGGACAAGGCCUCAUCUCAAUUACUAUGCUUCCCUGCUAGUAGACAAUAAGAAAGUCUUCAUUCACACUCACCUUCUUCAUACUGACAUGGAAGAAAUUGACUGCUUCGCGCCUGUCCUCAGAGUUCUUCAUGACUCCGGACUACAUAUUUAUGCACUAGCAUCACUGAUUGGAAUGUUGAGGUAAUUCUUCAGUUCUUUGCCACAUUGCACAUCACAGGAGACACCACUAAUGUCACAACAUGGGUCUUUGACUCAUGACUGAAGGAAUUCAUCUGNNNNNNNNNNNNNNNNNNNNNNNNNNNNNNNNNNNNNNNNNNNNNNNNNNNNNNNNNNNNNNNNNNNNNNNNNNNNNNNNNNNNNNNNNNNNNNNNNNNNCUUAUUGGAGUUUGUUCUGAUCUCUUAUAUGCAUGAUUUCAUAUCCGUGUAAUUCUCUUCGAGUUGUGGGUUUUGUUUGGCCAGCUUGAUCUAUGAUUCUUGCAAUGGGAGAAGUGCUUGGUUUUGGGUUCAUACCGUGCGGUGACCUCACCCAGUGACAGAAGGGGUAGCGAGGCACUCAUCGUGUUGGCCAUCAAGGGUAAAAAGAUGGGGUUUUCAUCAUUGGUUUGAGAUUAUCCCUCUACAUCAUAUCAUCUUGCUUAAGGCAUUACUCUGUUCGUCAUUGAUACGUCUCAAACGUAUCAAUAAUUUUUGAUGGUUUCACGCUGUUAUCUUGUCUUCUUUGGAUGUUUUAUGUACCUUUUAUAUCUUUUUUAGGACUAACUUAUUAAUUCAGUGCCAAGUGCCAGUUCCUGUUUUUCUGUGUUUUUGACUCUUUUCAGAUCUGAUUUUGGAACGGAGUCCAAACGGAAGAAAACCCCCGAAAUGAUUUUUUUCCCGAAUGGAAGAAGAUCAGUGGGCCUUUGGGCCAAGCCAGGUGGGCUCCAGGGUGCCCACAAGCCCCCACUCCACCACCAGGGGGGAGGCGGCGGUGGCAGGGCUUGUGGCCUCCCUGGCCGCCCCCUGACCUAUAUCUUUGGCCUAUAUAUUCCCAAAUAUCCAGCUAAAAAUCAGGGGAGCCUCGAAAAUAGUUUUCCGCCGCCGCAAGCUUCCGUUUCCGCGAGAUCUCAUCUGGAGACCCUUCCCGGCGCCCUGCCGGAGGGGACUUUGAAGUUGGAGGGCUUCUUCAUCAUCAUCAUCACCCCUCUAAUGACUCGUGAGUAGUUCACUUCAGACCUACGGGUUCGUAGUUAGUAGCUAGAUGGCUUCUUCUCUCUCUUGGAUCUUCAAUACAAAGUUCUCCAUGAUCUUCAUGGAGAUCUAUCCGAUGUAAUCUUCUUUGGCGGUGUGUUUGUCGAGAUCCGAUGAAUUGUGGAUUUGCGAUCAGAUUAUCUAUGAUAUAUAUUUGAGUCUUUGCUGAUUUCUUAUAUGCAUGAUUUGAUAUCCUUGUAAGUCUCUCCGAGUCUUGGGGUUUGUUUGGCCAAAUAGAUCUAUGAUUCUUGCAAUGGGAGAAGUGCUUGGUUUUGGGCUCUACCAUGUGGUGACCUUUCCCAGCGACAGUAGGGCAGCAAGGCACACAUCAAGUAGUUGCCAUCAAGGGUAAAAAGAUGGGGUUUUUAUCAUUGGUUUGAGAUUAUCCCUCUAUAUCAUGUCAUCUUUCUUAAGGCGUUACUCUGUUCUUAUGGACUUAAUACACCAGAUGCAUGCUGGAUAGCGGUCGACGUGUGGAGUAAUAGUAGUAGAUGCAGAAAGUAUCGGUCUACUUGUUUUGGACGUGAUGCCUAUAGAUAUAAUAAGUGCAUAGAUAUCGUCACGAGUUUGCGCGGUUCUAUCAAUUGCUCGACAGUAAUUUGUUCACCCACCGUCUACUUGCUUUCAUGAGAGAAGCCACUAGUAAACACUACGGCCCCCGGGUCUAUUCACAUCCAUCGGUUACACCUCCACUUUUACUUUGCAAAGUAAACACUACGGCCCCCGGGUCUAUUCACAUCCAUCGUUUACACCUCCGCUUUUAGUUUGCUUUGUUACUUUGUUGCUUUUAGUUCUCACUUGGCAAACAAUCUAUAAGGGAUUGACAACCCCUUCAUAGCGUUGGGAGCAAGCUUUUGUGUUUGUGCAGGAUCUUGAGAUACUCCUCCACUGGAUUGAUACCUUGGUUCUCAAACUGAGGGAAAUACUUACCACCGUUCUGCUACAUCACCCUUUCCGCUUCGAGGGAACACCAACGCAAGGCUCCAAGGCCACGGGGGAAAUCCUUUGCAUACUUGCCUAGGAAGUCCCUUAAGGCAUAGCCGCAGCGGAAGGAUUCCUCGUGCCUUCGACACAACAAUUUCUGGCGCUGUUUCANNNNNNNNNNNNNNNNNNNNNNNNNNNNNNNNNNNNNNNNNNNNNNNNNNNNNNNNNNNNNNNNNNNNNNNNNNNNNNNNNNNNNNNNNNNNNNNNNNNNUGAGUAUUGAGUCUCUCCUGAAUAUCAGCAAGAUCAAGCAUUUUGUAGUCUCUUCUUUGUUGAAUCAUCAAGAUCGGAAUGUCAAAGGAUUGAUCAAGUGAGCAUAGCAGUUUCUUCACCACUUCAUGAUCUGUGAUGUCUCUAGCUCCCAGAGCUUGCAGUUCAUUUGAGAUAUCUGUGAGGCGAUCAAAGGUAUCUUGGCAGCUUUCAGUGUCAAGCCUCUUGAAGCGGUUGAAGAGAUUGCGAAGAACAUCAAUUCGAGAGUCACGUUGAGUUGAGACUCCUUUAUUGACUUUGGACAUCCUGUCCCAGAUGAGCUUCACACAGCCUAAAGCACUAACACUGCAAUACUGACCUUUGCUCAGAUGACCACAAAUGAUAUUCUUUGCUUGCGAGUCAAGUUGCUUGAACUUCUUCACAUCAGUAGGAGAGAUUCUUGUAGAAACUUGAUGAACACCAUUUUCCACAAUGGACCAGAGGUCAUUGUCAAUAGCUUGGAGAUGCAUCUCCAUCUUGGUCUUCCAGAAGGGGAAGUCCUUUCCUUCGUAGAAGGGACAUCCCAUAGUCACCUUGACCAUACCUGCGGUCGACAUAACUAAAACUCCAGGUGGUUAAACCAAAAUCACACAAAACAAGGGAGUACCUUGCUCUGAUACUAAUUGAAAGUGUGUUAAGUCGACUAGAGGGGGGUGAAUAGGCGAUUUUUAAUAUUUCAUCACUGAUGAAAUUCCUCUUGAGGAAAGUCCUCAGUCAUGAUGAAUGUGCAGCGGAAAGUUGAUGAACAGAAUAGCAAAAGAGGCUAUAGCAGGUGAUGAAUAACCAGAGUGAACAAUUUGAGUUGAGAAAAUUGAUCAAAGUCAUCAAACAAAUUCUUCAAACAGUAAAGAUGAAAGUCUUCAGCAUACACUAGAUGAAAAGUAAAGGUUGAGGAAAUAGAACCAGUAGCUUGGUGAAGACAGUGAUUUGAUGACCGAGUUCCAACUGUUGUGACAGUUGUACGUAUUGUUUGGAGCAGCUAGGUAUUGAAACCUAAGGACACACAGUCCCGGGACACACAGUCCCUACUGUAUUCUCCUUGAGCUAAGGACACACAGUCCUUGCCCAACACUCAUGGUAAGUCUUCAGGGUAGACUUCCAAACCCUCACAAACUUGGUCAACCGGCGAUCCACAAUCAACUGCUAGAUGCUCUAGACCAUCAUGCCUAUCCGUCUGGAGGAUGCACAGUCCUCAACGGUAAUAGGCCUCGGUUCCACAUAGGAACAAAUUCUUAAGUGAUGCUCAAUCACUUGGGUUUUGGGUUUGGUUUUUGGUGUUUGGGAUUUUUCCUCACUUGAUGAAUAUCACUCUCAGCUGUUGAGGAAUAUGGGUUUCUCAAAUAGACUGUCAGAUUCUCACGGAGCAGCCAACCGGCUAGUUGGUGUGGGGGUGGUUAUUUAUAGCGAGCGAGCAUCCUGACAUGAAAGGUCAUAAAUGCCUUUAGUAAUGUGACCGUUGAGUGGAUAAGGUUUAGGACAGGUGUCGCCCAUUGAGGCAACGAUCGGAACUUUCAACUAUGGAAGUCAUCAUGUCUCAAAUUCCUCACUCGAGGAUUUGAGAUGUAGGCUGAGUUGAGCAUCAUGAGGAAAAUCAUUCCAUAGUGUUACCUUGACCCACUUUAACAGUACGGUGUUCCUAUGACUCAAGAAAGAAGAAAAUGAAACACAAAGAGUAAAUCUGCAAGCUUCAAAGUCUUCAAGGCAUUUUCUUCAAGGAGCACCGAAUUCCUCAAAUUCAGUUUCUUCGUGAGGAAUAGCAUUUUCAUCACAAUUUUCGUCGCGAUCAAAUUCUUCAGAUAAUGAUGAAAGUCUUUAGCCAAAGUCAGUUUCUUCAAGACCAAAGUCUUCAAGAUCCGACCGAAGUCUUCAACUUGAGUCAAACUCUUCACGAUCAAAUUCUUCAAGAUUUGACCAAAGUCAUCACCUGAUGACAUACAUCUUUAAGGGUCGAUAUUCAUCGAAUAACUCAAACUCCUCAGCGACUUAUAGAGCGUCUGUACACUCACAAACAUUGUUAGUAUCUUAACCUAUAAGUCUUCAACCCACCAAAAUCACUAAGGGUACUAGAUGCACUUACACUUUGUGGCCCAACAAUGCAAUUUUAAAACACCAAAAAAUGUUUGAUAUAUAACCGACAACGGUGCCACUACAGUCGACCGUUCAGGUAUCAAACGGACUCCGAUUGCUACGAAAAUUUGAAGGCAGUCUACCUACAUUAAAAUAAGACCGCAUGCCAAGUUUCAACUCAAUCCGAGAAUAUUUUAUACUCACUUGUAAAAACAAGAUUUAAACAAUGUCGCGGGCGCGUGCGUGUGUGGUCAUACUCAAAAUGAUCAACGGCAAGAAUGGAGAGAACCGACAACUAAUAACGGAUGCAAGUUUGAAAACUGGCAGCAACGGAUAGCCGAUGCAAUGUGGAUGAUGCGCAUGAUGCAAUGAUGAAUGCGACAAACAAAAUAAUAACACGGAGGCAACGGAAUAAAAGGGGAAUCUUCUGGAACGUCGGUCUCGGGCUGUUACAUGGACUUACUUUGAUAUGGAAUUUCUACGAAACAAGAAACACACAAAAAACAGGAACUCGCACUCGGCACUAGAUAAGUAAGUUAGACCCCAAAAUAAUAUAAAAUGUUGCCAAAAGUAUGUGAAAUUUGUAGAACAUUAGCAUGAAACAAUGAAAAAAUACAAAGCCGUAUCACUCAAGUUGGUGAAUGGGUUUGCAGUUCCGAAUCCGAGAACGAUUGUGAGAGAAACUAUACACUCCAACUCCGACUAUAGUCAAGAUUAAGGUGUUACCGAACUAGCAGUCGUAUCCUCCAAUUCCUAUGACAUAUUUGAUUCACCAAAUGAAGGAACUGGAACUUGCUUCAUGGCUAAAUUCCCCAAGGUAUCACACCCUCAAUACUUUAACUUUAAUAGUGAUGAGGAUGACUUACUUAGAGACGAUGACGUACUCUUCGAUAAAACUAGUGAUGUUAGUCAAAAUGAACUUGAUAAUAAUCAUGCUAGUCAAGAUAAGUUGUGUUAUGAUGAUAAGAAGGAGAUUGAGCAUUUAACUAAAGAAUUAAAUACUCUUAAGUUAGCUCAUGAAUCUACUCUAGAAGAUCAUAGAGAACUUUUAAGGACUCAUGAGUAGCUACACUUCGAGAAACUAAAUUUAGAGCAAGAGCAUGAGUUUCUUAAAGCUAUCAAUGAUGAUCUUAGAAAGAAGAGUUAUUCCUAUCUAGCCAAGUGAUUACUCUUGUCAACUUUUGUUUCACAAGUUAAACCUAAGAAAACUAGUGACAAAGGCAAGAAAGGUUCUUCAUCUAGUAACAAAAACACUAAUGCUAAAUCUAAUGAUGUUGUUUCUAUUAGCUCUAUUGAUUCCACUAAUGAUUCUCUUAGCCAAGUUACAUUUGAGAAAGAAAACAAUUUAUUGAAAGGAAAUAUAGAGAAAGGUGUCUACAAGAGUCUUGCCGAAAGUAGGCAACUCGAGAAGAUUGUACGCAAGCAAGCAGGACACCGGAAGAACCAUGGCAUUGGCUACUUAAAUGCCAAUGGAGUUGAAUGGCAAGAAAGUCAAUACCCCAAGAUGAAAUUUGUUCCCCAAAAGGAGAAGUAUGACCCUACUCUCUCUAAGGGAAAAAAAUGCUCAAGAUGACCUUCCACCAGAAUACCACAAGCUCAAGUGCAAGGGCAAGCUUCAAGAAGAAAUUGACUCAUUUGAAGAAGGAUUCCAAGCUAUGGUCAAGUGGGUUAGCAAGACCACCACUAGCUCUAGUUCACCAAGUGCUACCUCAACUCCAACGAUCCCCAUCAAGUUGUUGUGGGUCCCUGAUACGUCUCCAAUGUAUCUAUAAGUUUUGAUUGUUCCAUGCUAUUAUGUUAUCAUUUUAGAACACUUUUUAUGUACUUAUCUACCAAUUUAUAUUAUUUUUGAGCACUAACCUAUUGACCAAGUGCCUAGUGUUAGUUGUUGUUUUCUGCGUGUUUUUUCACUUUUCAGGUUUUAGUACCAAACGAAGCCCAAUUGACCUGAAGAUUUUUGUGAUUUUUUUCUGAAACAAAACAAGACCGUGGAGCAUCGGAAGGAUGCAAGAGGGCGCACAAGGGCCCCACAAGCCUAUAGGGCGCACCCUAGAGGGGGCGCCCUGAUGGCUUGUGGCCCCCUCGUGGCUCUCGCGGCUCCGUUCUGUGGCCUAUAAAUUCCUAUAUACCCUAAAAACAUCGAGGGAGGUCACAAAACACUUUUUACGCCAUCGCAAGUCUCUGUUCCGAUAGAGGCCAUCUAGAGCUCCGUUUUGGUACUCUACCGGAGGGGUAUUGAUCACGCAGGGCUUCUUCAUCAACCUUGUUGUCCUCAUGAUGAUGUGUGAGUAGUUCACCACAAACCUAUGGGUCCAUAGCCAGUACCUACAUGGAAAUCUCUCUCUUUGAUCUUCAAUACAAUGGAUCCAUAUGAUAUAACUCUUUUGUGCGAUGCGUUUGUUGGCAUCAUAUGAAUUGUGGGUUUAUGUUCUGAUGAUUCAUGAUAAAUAUUUGAGUCUCAUUUGAUAUAUAAUAUGAUUCUUAUGUGCAUGACUAUGAUGGCUUCAUAAUUCUCUCCAAUCUAUUGAAAUAGUAUGGCCAACUAGAUUGAUAUUUCUUCGGUGAGAGAGGUGUGUUGUAGUAGGUUCAACCUAGCGAGUUUCUAUAUCCCGGCGAUAGAAUGGAACAUGUUGCGUCUUUGUGUUACUGCUACUAAGGGUAAAAUGAUUGCGUUUAUUCGUAUUGGUUGAGUUUACUUUGUCUACGCAUGUCAUCUUUCUCCAAGCAUUACUUCCUUUGUCAUGAACUUAAUACGUAGAGAGGCAAGCAUAGAAGCACUCUUGAAGUUAAGUAAUAGUAAUAGGUGCUGGCAGGAGUCGGCCUAUUUUUUAUGGACGUGAUGCCUAUAUUUACAUGAUCAUUGCCGUGAAAGUCACAUAACUAUCCACUCUUCUAUAAAUUGCCCAACAGUAAUUUGUUUACCCACCGUGUGCUAUUUUCAUGAGAGAUGCCAUUAGGGAAAACUAUGGCCCCCGGGUCUGUUCACAAGAUAUUGCUAAAACCUCCAAUAACUUCCUGCCAUUUAUUUUCUUUUAUUUUAUUUUGCAUUUUACAAUUAUCUACACACCUCAUUUUCUUGCAAAUAACGAGACCAAGGGGAUUGCCAACCCUCUUGCCCGCAUUGGGUGCAAGCUGUUUGUUCUUUUGUAUGCAACCACUGAAGACGCUUGUGGCUGAUAUUCCUAUUGGUUCAAUAAACCUUGGUUUAAUAAUUGAGGGAAAUACUUACCCGCAUUGUGCUGCGAUAACCCGUUCCUCUUCACGGAAAACCCAACUCAGAUCACAAGUAUCAGUCCCCAAGAAGAAGAACUAGAGAAGUUCUUGAGGGGUGACUCCACCAACAAUAUUCGGUCACAUUCUUUUUAUUCAAGAACUAAUGCAUUCUACUUCAACCUUAUGCAAUAGUUCAAGGUGUCACAUUCCACCAAAGGUAAGCAAGGUACAAGGUAAUUAAUGUAUCAAUGGACAUCUUACUACAUAAGUUUCAUUCCAUGUCCAUAGAUAUCCUUGUAUUUGUUCCUUGUGCGGGACUAACCCAUGUAGGUGAGGAGAGUAAAAAACAACAAGGAUAGCUCCCAACUCAAGAUGAUCUUCGCCAACUACGAGCAUCCACUACUACAUCACCCACAUGAUGUCUUGUACAACAAAACCUAAGGUUAGUUUGUCCCUCUUAGGGGGAAUAUCACAUCAAGGGGUAUCUUUACUCUAAGAGUUGAGUCAAAACAUCUCUUAAAAUAUGAAUACAAUAAAAGUUUGAUUACCACAGAAAGCCCAACAUAGAUCACAAGUAUGAGGAAGGAUUUCUAGCGCCAUUGUCGGGGAAUAUAAUCACCAACUAUCAAGUAAUUCCGCACAUUUUUCAUUCACUUGUUCCUAUUUUUAAUUGCUCGUAUGUUUCGUUUGUCUCAUAAAAAAUAAAAUACAAUUUUUUUUAUCUUUGGUUGCUUAGCUUGUCACUAGAUUGCAUCUUUGCUCUCUAGUUUGCUUGUUACACUUGUCACUUUGCUCACUUAGUCACCAUGUCUCAAGAUACUAGUAAGUUGUGUGAAUUUUCAAAUACUAAAAAUAAUGAUUUUAUCAACACUCCUAUACCACCCACCACUAGUGCGGAUGCUUUUGAUAUUAAUGCUUCAUUGCUAAAUCUUGUCAUGGAAGGUCAAUAUUUGGGAAGUCCUAAUGAGGAUCCUGCUUCACAUCUCAAUACUUUUGUGGAACUUUGUGAUAUGCAAAAGAAAAGGGGCCUGGACAAUGAUAUUAUGAAAUUAAAAUGUCCUCUAUGCAAGCAGGUCUAGGAGACGAUUGACCAUAUUCUUUUUUAGUGUGAGUACACGACCAGGACGUGGGGCAUGAUCGAGUCAUGGCUGCAGCUAUACUCCAUCGACCCAGGCGAAUGGCAAGCUCUUCCGUCGGCCAAGGAGUGGUGGAUGCAUAUAUCUGAUCAAUCCAUGCCAACAGGAAAGCACGGGUCUCUCUUGUCAUGUUAACUUCGUGGACCAUGUGAAAUGAACCCAAUGCACGAGUUUUCCGCCACAAGUCGGCUCCACCUUUGAUCUUCUUCGGUAUCAUCAAAAGUGACGCAAGCCUUUGGGUUUUGACGGGAGCAAAAAAGUUAAGUUCAAUCAUGUUGGGAGAGUAAUUCUUUUUUUUCAUGGAGCACGCAUGUAACACACCAUUAAUAUGUACUUCGGCUUCGACCUCUCCUUCUUAAUUAGUAAUAUAUACGAGGAAAAUCUUUUGUCCGGCUUUAAAAAAAAGCUGUUAUUAUAUAUAGGGAGUGCCUAGAACUCAGCUAGCUGAGAUUUUCUAUGGUCUCAUUCACAUAAUAUUAUUGUAUUUUGUAUUUUUUUUCUUUUUGUUUCCUUUAGCCCAUCAUUUUAUUCUUUUGGGCUUGCAUGUCAUAUUUUUGGUUGUUGUUGCUGUGCGCCUCAUCUAACCGGCCCAAUAACUAUUUAUUUGAUUCUUGUUGUUGCACGUCGCAUCUUUUAAAAAAGAAAAUCACCGUUAGAGAAAAAAAAAGAAUAAGCAAAAAAAGUUAUGUAAUGGCUUGUUAGCUUCAACUACUUUGACCACUAAACAUUCUUGUACAAAGAACUAGCAUGUCCUUAUUAUAUGAAUUGUGAUGUAAUAAUUUGUUUUUUCUUAGUAAAAACAACUUGAUUCUAGCUUUUUCAUGUAGUUGCUGCACAAAUAAUAUUUGCAGUUGCGAUCCGCCUGUGAAUACUUGUAGCUGCGACCCGACUAUAAAUACUUGCAAUUGCGCCCCAACUAUGAAUACUUGCGAUUGCGACUUGACUUUGAAUAUUUGCAGUUGCCAUUAGACUUUGAAUACUUGCAAUUGCGACCCGACUUUGAAUACUUGCAGUUGCGGCCCGACUCCAAUACUUGCAAUUGCGACCUGACUUUGAAUAUUUGCAAUUGCGACCCGACUUCGAAUUCUUGAAGUUGCGGCCCGACUUUGAAUACUUGCAAUUGGGACCCGACUUUGAAUACUUGCAGUUGCGGCCCGACUUCAAAUACAUGCAGUUGUCACCCGACUUUGCAUACUUGCUGUUGCGACCCGACCUCAAAUAUUUCCAGUUGCGGUCACAUUUCAAAUCUUGCAGUUGCGACCUGACUUUAAAUAUUAAUGCCAUUAAUAUAAAAAGGAAAACAAAAAGAAGACACCAAAAGCAACGAUAGGAAUAGGAAAAAACUAUACAUGUAUAAAUCUAAGUGUAUUAAUGUAACGGGUAUAGAGGUGAUUGAGACGAAACUAUUUUUUACCUAGCUGAGAACUUGUGCUCGUGCAAUUGCAGUUUGGGGUACAACGGUUGUAGUUGCAUGUUUAGAGGUGACCCAUGCAACUAACCCCAACAACUCCGCCCUCCACCCCCCGCCCCGACCCUAAUAGCAUCGCCUUGUGCCCGUGUAGUUGCAGUUAGGGACACAACGCUUGCGAUUGCUUGUUUAGGGGUGACACGUGCAACUAACCCCAACAACUCCCCUCCCCCGACCCCAACCCUAGCCGCAGUCGCCUUGUGUCUGUGUAGUUGCAAUUGGGGUGACAACGCUUGCAAUUGCAUGUUUAGGGGUGACACCUGCAACUAACCCCAACAACUCCCCUCCCCCGACCCUAACUGCAGUCGCCUUGUGUCCCUGUAGUUGCAAUUGGGGGUACAACGCUUGCAAUUGCACGUUUAGGGGUCACACGUGCAACUAACCCAACAACUCCCAUCUUGACCCUAGUUGCAGUUUGGCGUACAAUGCUUGCAGUUGCAUGAUUACGACCGACACAUGCAACUAACCCCAACAACUCCCCUUCGGACCCUAGUUGCAGUCGCUUUGUGCCCGUGCAUUUGCAGUUAGGGGUACAAUGCUUGUAGUUGCAUGUUUAGGGGUGACACAUCCAACUAACCCUAUCACUCCUCUCUCGAUCUAGUUGUAGUCGCCUUGUGCCCGUGUGGUUGCAAUUGAGAAGAAAAUGCUUGUAGUUGCAUGUUUAGAUUGACACAUGCAACUAACCCCCACAAAUCCCCUACCGCCACGGUUUGCAACUGUUCUUAAAGAAUGUCAAAAGUAUUAAAGAAAAAACUUAGAAAUGAAAACAGAAAUUGAAAAGUAAAAUAAAUUGAAAAUAAAAAAGGAACAAAGAAAAGAAACCAUCACUGUCUCCCCAAAAUGCCGUGUCCUUUCCUCUUGCUUGUUGCAACCGAAAAAAUGAAAAGAAGACGACUCAACAGUCGUUGCCCAUCAAUCCAUUUUUUAUAUAAAAUAGCAAUGUCAUAACAGCCGUGAGGACAAUCAAAAACACCCAAAAAAUGGGUCGCAACCGACCGCACGCAACAUUUACCGGAUACUUACUUGAAAUCCUAAUUCAAUUUGAUCUGAUGGCUGAUAGCGCAAAAUAUACAUAUUUAAAACUCGGGUUGUUACAUAAAAAGUAAAAAUAGCACAAAAAAUGGAAAAAGGGAAGAAAAUAGAAUCGAGAUGGUCGCAAUGGGCCGCGCGCAACGUUCACUCAAUAGCUUACUUGAAGAAUCAAACUAUGAAAAUUAAAAAAUAUAAAGAAAAGAGAGAUGAAACCAAGGGAAAAAGUCCAUGAUAAAAUGACAACAAUAAGAUUUGAGAGAGUGAGUGAAAAAGGGUAGGAAAAAUCUCACGAGGAACACAUAAAGAUUUGUCUUUACUCUCCCUGUUUUGCACAGUACACUAACAUAAAUGAGGGUUCAUUCAUUUAAAACAGCUACAGUACAACACACCCAGCACCUCUGCCUCCCGAGACAAACCGGCCCAAGACGUGCUAGGCACAAAGAAAAAAGAUAACGGGUCGCAGCCCCACAUCUUUCAACAGCAGCACAAAUAUCCCUCAAAAAGAAAAACAGCAACACAAAUCUCAGCGUGUUCUUUAUUGAAUGGUCAUCAACGUGAAUGAGACCAUUGAAUAAUCUCAGCUAGCUGAGUUUCAGCAAAACCGUUAUAUAUAAGUGCAUAAAGGAUAAAUUUAAACCGACAGAUGUACAUAAGCUAGAUAAGUGCCCACAUGAACCACAAUUUUAGACCGGCAGAUGUACGUAAGCUAGAUAAGCGCACACAUGAACAUAGAGGAGGAGUAACAAGUCAACUAUUGCUAAAGUCGACCCAAAUACUGUAAUCCAUUCUCUCUGUCUCCCAAAAGUCCCUUGGAUUUUCGCGUUGUCCCAGUUCGUAAGACCACAUGUUUGUGAUAUACGCGUCAUUGCCAACCUUCACCUUUUUAUCAACACGCCGUGACUCCACAAAAGCAAAUUCACCGUCGCGCAGAACAAAGUCAGCAGAAACGAUGUCAGGCCAGUCGUAGAGUCUUGGGAGGAAGAUCUUGUUCUGCAUCGAUUUAAUGACAGUCUUCUUCAUUAUGGUCGUGAGUGUACCCGUAAAUAUAGCCCUGCCAUCUAGGCUCUCCAUUUUCUCCCACUCCAUCGUGUGUUCAUUGAGCUUGAAAAUGUUGAUAGGCGACCCGCGUCGGCCAAUGAGGACGACCAUCAGCUCACCCUGGUCGAACUCAACCAAGUAGCUGUCUUCGUAUACAAACCCGAAACUCCGGGGCUUCUCAAGAAUUUCAAAUCCUUCUUCAUCUUUGCACUCGUCGAAUACAGCUAAUUUUCCAUCUUCUAGGAGUAUAUAGAUGAGGCCGCGGUGAAACACGGGGUUGGACACUGGUGAUGCCGUAAACUUUGUUCGUUCAGGGUUGCAGUAUGCCCAACGCCCCCACACCCCGUCGUUGUUCUGUAUGCAACAACCAAUAUUUUGUAGGCAAACCGUGUCAAUGCCAACCAUCUUGCACAUACUGUCAUAGAUAAUAUGCUCAAACCAGAACUUAUAUAUCGGUGGCAGAUAGUCGUUGUCGUCGCCCAGAAGGUCGACGUUGAGUAUUUGCUUUGGCAUGCAUAGUGUCAAGUACCUUCCGUUGGCGCAACAGAUCUUGGCGCCAGGCGCCGCUAGCGUGUCAUGAAUCUCGAAGUUCUUCUGAAAGUAGGGACUGUAGUAGCGGACAUUGGUGGUUCCGACGUCCGUGGUGUUUAGCAGGAGCGGGGUGAUCCACGCCGGGUAGAAGGGCGACACGGCGGAGCGCCAUUGUCGGCACACCAAGGCGAAAGUCGGGUGGCUUGACCACCGCAGACGGUUGAGGAUAAGGAUAAGCAGGUCCACCGGGAGAGACGACCAGUCUUGUUCCUGCGACAUCGCCGCCUCUCGUCUAGCCGCACAACGUGAGUCCGUGCACCAAGGUGGUAAUAACGCGUUCCUGCGACAUCUCGAGCUUUAUGCUUGUACUAUAUACUGUAUAUCUAUCUUGCUAAUAUCUCUCUCCUGGAGCUCAAGAAGAAUUCCAUCCCGAGUUGUAGGAAGCAGCAGAUGACACGUACGUACAAUCCCGGUCCGACCCGGAACCUCAACCUCGCGUCCGUGUGGACAACGUCAAACGGCAACACAAACUUCUUUUUUACAUACAUAAACACGUAGUAGUUUGGAGUUUGGACGUAGGAAAUUAUUGAGAAAGCUUUGCAGGGACACGACGGAGGACGAGAUGGAUACGCGCAGCGAGGCGGAGAAGUUGAAGGGGCCGACCGUGGUGUCAGUGUCACCGUUUCCGCUGGAUCCAGGCCUCGCUCCGUUGCUACUGUUUGACUACCAACAUGACGGCGAGGCAAGCGGCGGUGACACCAUAUUCCUAUACAGUAUCCCUAAGAGGCAGUUACUGGGCAGGAGAGCCGAUGGUUUCAAAGGCCAUCGUUACUGGCUAACACCUCAAGGAUGGGUGCUGAUGCUGCAUCUCGAAUCGCAUAAGUCUUUCCUCUGGAACCCAUCAACUCUUGAGAGGAUUAGCUUACCUCUAGAUCAAGAGAAUCUUCUUCAAGCUGCAGAAGGCAGCAUGUGCCUUCUCUCGCUCAAGCCGACAGAUCCAGAUUGCGUCGUGCUCUUAGCAGACCUCGCACACGAACUCAUCUACUACUGCCAUGCCGGAGGAAACCAAUGGUUCAAGCACGAGCACGAGCAUGGCCAAAGCUUCAAGGCAGGUCUUACCACGCUUGGUGGAAAGUUCUACGCAUACAACAUCUACCACAAGCACAAUCAGAUUGUCACACUAGAGUUCUUACCAUACCCAGCGUUCAGCACACGCGGCUUGCUGGAAGAUUGCUCCCCAACCGGGUAUACCAUGUUUGAUUGCUGCAUCUUAGAGGGCCGCGGAGAGCUGUUUGUCCUAAGCGUUUGUUACCAUGGGAUAUCUGACCGACAUAUCGCGCGAAUUGUUGUCCACAAGUUGGAUGUCUCGAGAGGAGCUUGGCUAAAGGUGGACACGCUCGGUGACAUGGUGAUUUUCUUCGAUAAUUGCCGCGGUUACGGAGCAUCGUUUGAUGCACACCAGCUCGGUCUAAGAAAACGGGACUGCAUAUACUUUUUGAUGUCUGAUGACAAGGCGUUGUAUGUGUAUGACAUGAAACGAGGAACAACUGCUAUGCACAAUCCUGGACCCAGCCUUCGAGAUUCUCUUGUACCUCAGUUUUUAUUGCCUUCGGCUCCGAUUUGAGGCCUAUUCAGCACAACCAUGUAUUCGAGAUUCUAUUCAGACUUUGACGCUUGACGCCAGGCAGGUCUUUAGAACAACCUAUGCCACUUCUCUUUAAAAAAGAGGUUAAUAAAUCUCCGGCUGUUAGAUAUUGUUUAUAAGUAGCCUAUGUGUAUAUCCAUGUAACUUGUAUUUAUACACAACAUGUACAUAUAUAUAUAUAUAUAGCCACUCCCCGUUGGUUGUCGAAUAGUUUUCAUCAAACAUUGUUUUACAUGGUAUCAGAUUUUGCUUCCGUCUCGUCCACCGCCGCCUCAUGGCUUUUGCGUCGUGCGCCGCCGCCGCGAUCUCCACUGGCCCGGCCACCCCCACCUGCCGACUGUCCAGCCCCUGCCACUCACGCCACCCCGGCCUCUCCGUUUUUGGCGUCCACACUGCUGGUCUCUCUGUCCAGCGUCUUCAUGGUCGACCCGCCGCCGUCCCGGAUCGUCAACGACACGGGCGCCCCUCUGCCUCUGGAUCGCUCUGACCCCGUCCCGCUGCCGGCGCCCUACGGUGCCACCCACCCGCCGGCGCUCUACAACCCCGCUCCUACCCCGCCCGCGGCGUACGGGAGUCAUGCCCCGCCCACUACUGCGCCCUGGUGGGCGUACCAGCCCCGGUGGCGGGCCACUCGCCCGCGGGUCCUCCGCCCUACAGCGCUCCACACAUGCAGCCGCCGGGGGUGGCUCCUAUAGCGUUGCUCCUGCCACCCCAUGGCCGAGUACGCCCUACGCCCCCCGGCUCCAUCGGCCUCUGCCUACCCGACUGCCUCGGGUGCCAUGCCUCCUUAUGGCCCUGCCUCCUCGUACGGGGCACCGUACGGAGGUCCAUCGUCGGACCUGUUGCUUCACCUUCGGGCGGCUAUGCCCCGCUGCCACCUUCGGAUAAGGGUGUCCCAGCUGCGUCGUUCUACUUCACGCAUCUCAUCCUGGUGAAGUUGACGACGCAAUCGCUACUUAGAGGGGUUUGUUGACAUCACUUUCCUUUGUCCCCCACCAUAUCACCCAGGGCAUCAUGCGUGGGUGGCUCAAGAUCAAGCCAUCCUUUCAGCCAUCCAGUCCUCUCUUAUGGAGGGGGUCUCGUCAUUGUUUAUCUUUGCCGCCAUGUCUCGUGACGCAUGGAUGGCCCUUCAUACCAGUUUUGCUUCGCAGUCUCACACAUGGGCUCACGCUAUUCGCACUGCACUUGGAGAAGUGAAGCUUAAUUGUCCCAUCAUCACCGACUACUUCAACAAGGUGACGGGCAUGGCGGAUACACUUGCCUCCAUUGGCAAGGCUCUUGGGCCGAAGGAGUUCAACUCUUAUGUACUCAAUGGGUUGGGUGACGACUACGAUAAUCUGGUGGAAAAUAUCAAUGGUCGUGACACUCCCAUCCAGCAGUGUGAGCUGUAUGCGCGCCACCUUGCAACGGAACAGUGCAUCUAGGCUCGCCGCUCUGCACCGACUUUCUCUUUUGCCAAUGCUGCCACGCGCGGCAAGGGAAAGUCCUAUACGCCAUCAGUUAGUGGCAAACCACCGGCUGCUCCUGCCUCGCGGAACACCGCUACCUUGUCUGGUGGUCGUGUCCGUGCGUGCUAUCCUUCAUGUGGAGCUCAGGUCCUCUCGCACCUAUGCGGUCUUGAUGGCCACCUUGCUUCUCGCUGCCACCGCUGCUUCAAAAAUAAUUUUCUGGGCAUCGGGAACAAUGGCAAAGGGAAUGAGAAGCAGGCUUCCUUGGCGAGUCAUGAGCAUGGACACACUCCUUCGUAUCCGGUUGAUCCUACAUGGUACAUGGAUAUGGGAGCCACCAACCACCUAACGAGCGAUAUGGGAAAGCUCUCUACAUAGGAGUCGUACCAUGGACAUGACCAGGUUCAUACUGCAAACGGGGAAGGUAUGCACAUCUCAAAUAUUGGUCAUGCAUCUCUUCUUACUCGUCGAUCCAAGCAAUUACGUCUUCUUAAUGUCCUUCGAGUUCCCUCUGUUUCACGUAGUUUGCUGUUUGUUCCUAAACUAACUCGUGAUAAUAAUGUUCUUGCUGAGUUUUAUCCUUUCCGUUUUUUUGUUAAGGAUCGGGACACAAGGGUGUACUCCUUAGAGGUCUACUACGCAAUAAUGGUCUCUAUGCACUUGAUGUGCCACGAGCUCCUAGUGCUUUCAGCGGCGUUCGUGUGUCUCCAUCACAUUGGCAGACGUGCCUUAGUCAUCCUACCACUCCCAUCAUUCACCAUGUUCUUCAUCGUAAAGAGCUCCAAGUUGUGUCCGAUAAACAUGUCGAUGCAGUUUGUGAUGCCUCGCAACAAGUCAAGUUUCACCAGCUUCCUUUUUUUGAGUCCAGUCGUGUAGUCACUAAAGCGCUUGAACUUGUGUUUCUGGAUGUAUAGGGUGAUACGUCUCCGUCGUAUCUAUAAUUUUUUUCGUGUUUCAUGCAAAUAUUCUACAACUUUCGUAUACUUUUGCCAACUUUUUAUACUAUUUUUGGGACUAACAUGUUGAUCCAGUGCCUAGUGCCAGUUCCUGUUUGUUGCAUGUUUUUUGUUUCACCGAAAAUCCAUAUCAAACGAAGUCCAAACGGGAUAAAAACUUAUGGUGAUUUUUUUUUGGAAUAUUUGUGAAUUUUAGGAAGUGGAAUCAAAAGAAGGCGGUUCCCGAGGGGCCCAAAAGCCAGAGGGGGUAGGCCGGGGGGGGAAAAGGCGGGCCGCGGGGGGGCCAAAAGGCAGGGGGGGGGGGGGGGGGGGGGGGGGGGGGGUAGGCCACGCCCUGAUGGCUUGUGGCUAACCUCUAAGGCAGUUGGUGCCCUUCUUUUGGCGCAAGAAAGCUAAUUUCGGGGUAAAAAUCAUGUUAAAUUUUUAGCCCAAUCAGAGUUACGGAUCUCCGGGAAUAUAAGAAAAGGUGAAACGCCAGAAUCUGGAACGGAAAAACUGAGAUAAACACAGAGUGAGAUCCAAUCUCGGAGGGGUUCCCGCCGCUCCGCCGCCAUGGAGGCCAUGGACCAGAGGGGAAACCCGUCUCCCAUCUAGGGGGAAGAACAAGGAAGAAGAAUAAGGAGGGGGGCUCUCUUCCCCUCUCUCCCGGUGGCACUAGGACGCUGUCGGGGCCAUCAUCGUGACGGCGAUCUACACCAACAACUUCGCCGCCGUCAUCACCAACUCUAUCCCCAUCUAUGAAGUGGUGUAAUAACCCUUCUCCCCGCUGUAAUAUCUACUUAAACAUGGUGCUCAAUGCUAUAUAUUAUUUCCCAAUGAUAUAUGGCUAUCCUAUGAUGUUUGAGUAGAUCCGUUUUGUCCUAUGGGUUGAUUGAUAAUCAUGAUUGGUUUGAGUUGCAUGUUUUAUUAUUGGUGCUAUCCUAUGGUGCUCUCCGUGUCGCACAAGCAUGAGGGGUCCUCUUUGUAGGGUGUUGCAAUGUGUUCAUGAUUUGCCUAUGGUGGGUUGCUUGAGUGACAGAAGCAUAAACCCGAGUAGGUGGGUUGUUGCAUAUGGGAGUAAAUAGGACUUGAUACUUAAUGCUAUGGUUGGGUUUUACCUUAAUGAUCUUUUGUAGUUGUGGAUGCUUGCUAGAGUUCCAAUCAUAAGUGGAUAUGAUCCAAGUAGAGAAAGUAUGUUAGCUUAUGCCUCUCCCUCAUAUAAAAUUGCAAUAAUGAUUACCGGUCUAGUCAUUGAUUGCCUAGGGACAAAUAACCUUCUUGUUACAACAAGCUCUCUACUAAGGCUAACUUAGUUGUUUCUUUAUCUAAGAAGCCCGUAGUUUUUAUGUAUGUGUUCUUUAUUUUCUUGCAAACCUUUCCGAUCACACCUACAAAGUACUUCUAGUUUCAUACUCGUUCUAGGUAAAGUGAACGUUAAGCAUGAGUAGAGUUGUAUCGGUGGUCGAUAGAACUUCUGGGAAUAUUUGUUCUACCUUUUUCUCCUCGUUGGGUUCGACACUCUUACUUAUCGAGAAAGGCUAAAAUUGAUCCCCUAUACUUUCGGGUUACCAAGACCUUUUUGUGGCGCCGUUGCCGGGGAGAAAUAGCGUGGGGUGAAUAUUCUCAUGUGUGCUUGUUUUCUUUAUCAAUAAGUAGUUUUUUAUUUCGUGCCCUUGUUUUCUAUCUUUAGUUAUGGGUAGGAAACGCAAAAUACCAAAAAAGUUAGAUGUACUUGCUGCUCCAAAAAUUUCGGAACCACUAGUGUUCCGUACUACCAAAUAAUAUUACUUGGAUCAUCUUCGAUCCAUUUGUGCUCGUGCUAAAACCCUAACUACCUUAGUUGAGGGAAAAUCAUUAAAUGAGCAUGCUUAUUAUGUGCGACACCGCUUAUCUAAAAAAGGGAAACUUUUAUGGCAUCAUAUUAGUACUUUGCAGUGCUAUGCUUGAACUUAUGAGAAAUUUAUGAUUUUACUUGUUGUUCUAAAGACCCUAAAAACACCUUCCCUAUCAAUGUGAGUUUAAGAAUAAUGGAAUCAUAUCUUCUUAUGCCAAGGGUGUUUAUAAUUACUAAGAUAAUGAACAAAUAGAAGAUUUUGUUGAUUUUAAGGGUGCCUAUGAAAUUUCUUCUUUGAUUGAAAAGUAUGAUGCUACUGUUUACAAAUCUGAAAGUUUUGCCAUACUUAAAUAUUGCUAUGAAAACUAUGCUUCUAAUGCUUAUGUUAAGCCAUAUAUUGAGGACUCCUCCAUUGUCAAAGAGGAGACUAAUAUUUUGCAGGAAACUAUGGAAGAAGAAAUUGGUGACGCUAUGAGCUCAUUGGGUGAAAAAGAUGAGGAGGAGAGCUAAGAACAAAAGGGGGAAGAGCNNNNNNNNNNNNNNNNNNNNNNNNNNNNNNNNNNAGAGCGGAUUAGCUACCCGUGCCCACCUUCUAAUGAGAGUAACUCUUCAACUCAUACAUUUUUUAAUUUCCCUUCGUGCUUACCGAAGGAUGAAUGCUAUGAUAAUUGCUAUGUUCUCUUGGAUUUGUUUGAAAUAUCCCUUUUUGAUGAACUUGAUGCUUGCUAUGCUUGUGGCCAUGAUGCCAAAAUGAAUGAUGCUUAUGGAGAUGAAUUUGCUAUAGCUCCUUAUGUUAAACGUGAAAUUGUUGCUAUUGCACCCACACAUGAUAGUCCUAUUAUAUUUUUUAAUUCUCCCAACUACGAUAUAUUGGAGAAGUUUGCGCUUAUUAAGGAUUAUAUUGAUGGGCUGUGAUUUACCAUUGCACAUGAUGAUUUUGAUAUAUAUAAUAUGCAUGUGCUUGCUGCUCCUACUUGCAAUUAUUAUGAGAGAGGAACUACAUCUUCACCUCUCUAUGUUUUCGAAACAAUAAAAUUGCAAGAAAAUGUUUAUACUAUGCAUUGGCAUUUACUUUGUGUGCAUGAUUUGUUCUUUUAUGACAUGUCGAUGCAUAGCAAGAGAGUUAGACUUCGUUGUUGCAUGAUAUAUAUUACUUUGUGCUAAAUACUAAAUUAUAAAUCAUUUUUAAUUAAAAUUGGCUUUGAUAUAACUUGGGAUCGGGGUGGAUUAAUUACUUGAGCACUUUAUGCCUAACUUAAUGGUUUUAAAGAAAGUGCUGCGAGGGAGACAACCUGAAAGUUUUAGAAAGUCAUUUUAUUCUGUUGUGUUCUUUUAUAUAGUUUAAAAAACAAAAAAAUAAAGAAGGGAACCUAAAACUUUUUCGAAAAUAGAAGUGAAAGUAAGAAGGACGAGCACCGUUGAAGUGGGGGAGCUCCUUGAACUUUGUUCAUGCCCAUGGAAACUUUGCGAAUCUUAAUUACAGAAACUUUUCAAGAAAAAUAAUUAUCCCCUUGUAUAAAUCCAUUGUAUUAUAGAAAUAAUGUGCCUGGAUUUUUCUUUAGGAUGAUUAGAUUGCUUGUUUGGUGUGUGCAGUGCAAAAACAGAAACUUUGGCUGGAGUGCGUGAAUUUACAUUUUUAAUAGAAUAUCAAAAGUUUCUGAAAUUUUUACACAGUACUACUAUGCACAUUGUUUAUUUCGUCCUAAGUUUUCAGAAUUUUUAGACUUACAGAUGUAUGGUGAAUGUACAGAUUACUACACAUUGUCUUGUUUUUGACUCGUUUUGACGAAACUAUCGAUUGUAUCGGUGGUAUAAGCCAUGGAAAAGUUAUACUACAUUAGAUACAAUGCAAAAAAAAUAAGAUGAAUUGGUUUGCAACAGUACCUAAAGUUGUAAUUUGCUUUAGUAUUACUAACGGAUCCCUCGAGGGUUUUGUUAAGUUUUGUGUGAUUGAAGUUUUCAAGUUUUGGGCGAGAUCAUGAUGGGUGAAGGAAUAAGGAGUGAAAAGAGACUAAGAUUGGGGAUGCCCGAGACACCCCAAGGUAAUAUUCAAGGACUCCCAAGCAACUAAGCUUGGGGAUGCCCCGGAAGGCAUCCCCUCUUUCUUCUAACAACCAUGAGUAAUAUUACUUGGAGCUAUAUUUUUAAUUGUCACAUGAUAUGCGUAAAUCUUGGAGCGUNNNNNNNNNNNNNNNNNNNNNNNNNNNNNNNGUCGUGUGAUUUUUCUUUUUCUUUUAAUAAUGUACCAUGCUGGUAUGAUAUAGUCCUUGGUCGAUUUAUAGAAUGCUUCAUGCACUUCACUUAUAUCUUUUGAGUAUGGCUUUAUAGAAUGCUUCAUGUGCUUCAGUUAUAUCAGUUGAAUUUUAAAAAGUGUGUUUCUCUACACAUAGAAAACCGCCUUUUGUAGAAUGCUCUUUUGCUUCACUUAUAUUUUUUAGAGCGUGUGCAUAUCUUUUGUAGAAAGAAUUAAACUCUCAUUCUUCACUUAUAUCUAUUUAGAUAGUUAACAAGAGUUGAUCAUUCACAUGGUUAGUCAUAAAAUCCUACAUAAAACUUGUGAUCACUGAAUAUGAUAUGUUUGAUUCCUUGCAAUACUUUUGCGAUAUAAAGAUGGUGAUAUUAGGGUCAUUCUAGUGAGUAAUUUUGGAUUGGUAGAAAUAUUUGUGUUAAAGUCUAUGACUACCGUAGCAUGCACGUAUGGUGAAUCGUUAUGUGAAGAAGUCGGAGCAUGUUUUAUUUAUUUAUUGUCAUCCUUUGUGUCGAGGUCGGGAUCGCACGAUGGUUAACUCCUACCAACCUUUCCCGUAGGAGCAUGCGUGUAGUACCUUGUUUCGAUGACUAAUAAUUUUUUGGAAUAAGUAUGUGAGUUCUUUAUGGCUAAUGUUGAGUCCAUGGAUUAUACGCACUCUCACCCUUCCACCAUUGCUAGCCUCUCUAGUACCGCGCAACUUUCACUGUUGCAAUACACCCACCAUAUAUCCUUCCUCAAAACAGCACCAUAGCUACCUAUUAUGGCAUUUCCAUAGCCAUUCUGAGAUAUAUUGCUAUGCAACUUCCACCAUUUCCUUUAUUAUGACACGCAUCAUCAUUGUCAUAUUGCUUUGCAUGAUCGUAAGAUAGCUAGCAUGAUGUUUUCAUGGCUUGUCCAUUUAUUGAUGUCAUUGCUAUGCUAGAUCAUUGCACAUCCCGAUAUACCACCGGAAGCAUUCAUAUAGAGUCAUAUUUUGUUCUAGUAUCGAGUUGUAAUUCUAGAGUUGUAAGUAAAUAAAAGUGUGAUGAUCAUCAUUAUUAGAGCAUUGUCCCAUGUGAGGAAAGGAUGAUGGAAGCUAUGAUUCCCUCACAAGUUGGGAUGAGUCUCCGGACUUAAAGAAAAAUAAAAUAGGCUAAAGAAGCCCAAAUAAAAAAAUCCAAAUAAGCCCACCAAAAAAACAAAAAAAACAAAAAAAGAGAGAAAAGAGAGAAGGGGCAAUGCUGCUAUCCUUUACCACACGUGUGCUUGAGAGUAGCACCAUGUUUUUCAUAUAGAGAGUCUCCUAUGUUGUCAUUUUCAUAUACUAGUGGGAAUUUUUCAUUAAAGAACUUGGCUUGCAUAUUCCAGUGAUGGGCUUCCUCAAAUUUCCCUAGGUGUUCGUGAGCAAGUGAGUUGGAUGCACACCCACUUAGUUUCUUUUUGAGCUUUCAUACACAUAUAGCUCUAGUGCAUCUGUUGCAUGGAAAUCCCUACUCACUCACAUUGAUAUCCAUUGAUGGGCAUAUCCAUAGCCCCUUGAUACGCCUAGUUGAUGUGAAACUGUCUCCUUCUUUUUGUCUUCUCCACAACCUCCACCAUAUUCUACUCCACCUAAAGAACUCCCGAAAUUUCUGGUCAUGCAAUCUGGUCCACGGAUACAAGGAGAAAUUUCACUAAACUCCUAGAAUCUAACCCGUCGAGUGUAUCACAUCUGUCAACACAUAACGAGAAUAUCGGAACCUCAUCUACUACAGACACUCGUAAUCACAACGAUACAAAGUAUGGCGAUACAUCCGGAUCUAUGUGCACCAGUACUGGGGAAGCCGCACUCCUCUCGCCACUACUAGUAUUGAAGCAAUUUCGAACAUCCUCCGUCCUGAGAUACCAUGAAAUCUGAACGAUAACAAUGUUCUCAAGAAUCCCCUCGAGCUCAACUCUCUGGAAGAAAUCAAGUCAGAGAGGAGGCACCAAGACAGAACUCCGUCACAUCGACAUCAUAUUGAUUCCAAAAAUAUCCGCGUGAUCCUAAAAAAAUUUGAGUGAGAAGAGGAGAAGGAUUAAAAUUAUUACGUCUAGAUUCCUCACCAGAGCAUAGAAGAGUAGAAAAAAGAAUCCUACUCCCUGAUAUAUAACUAGACUCAAAGCAGUUUUUUCACUAGACUCGACUCGACCGAGUUCGAUCGGUCAAGGGGGCUCCUAGGUCAGUACUGUUCUGAUACCAACUUGUCACGCCCAAGAUGCGACCCUAUCCUUAUUUGGGCACGAGGGCCUCGACAAGGAUAGACGCGCAUCUCGUCGUGUCGCAAGAGUGCAUAUCGUUACAAGUACAUGUACUGAAGUGAAGAGUACAUGAAAUUGGCUUACACUCGCCACAAGCUACAUCAGAGUCACAUAAGUACAAUUAUAUACAUUCAUCAAGAAGAAGAGGAGGGUCCGACUACGUCCAAAAACAAACAAUAAAAGAAUGACGUCCAUCCUUGCUAUCCCAAGCUGCCAGCCUGGAACCCAUCCUAGAUCGAUGAAGAAGAAGAAGAAGAAGAAACUCCAAAUGAACAAUCAUCGAACUCACGUCAAGGUAACCUUUACAUGUACCUGCAACUGGUGUUGUAGUAAUCUGUGAGCCACAGGGACUCGCAAUCUCAUUUCCAAAGGUACCAAGACUAGCAAAGCUUAUUAGGUGAGAUAUGGUUAAGUGGUGAGGCCGCACCAAGAGGCUAAGCAUUUAUUUGAGGUGGCUAACUUACGAGUACAAGAAUAAUAGAGGAGGAAUGAUCUAUGCUUAAUCGGACGUGAACUAAUAAUGAUCAAAUGAAUGAUCCUGAACACCUACUUACGUCAGACAUAACCCCACCGUGUCCUUAGUCGGAUAAGCAACUCACGAGACAGACAGUCAUGGUUACGCACUCAGUUGGCAUAUUUUAAUUAAGUUUAAUUCAAGUUAUCUAGAACCAGUGUUAAACAAAGUUUCCACGUUUCCACAUAACCGCGGGCACGACUUUCCAAAAGUUUUAACCCUUCAGGGGUGCUCCAACUAGUCCAUCACAAAUUACCACAAGCCUAAUAGAAAUCCUCCAUCACGAAACUCGCGAUGUCCUUGGGUUCCUUAGUGGAAAACCUCAACUCUGAGAAAUCCCAAAGCAUCGCCGGAAUCCCGAUGCACAAGAUACUUCAUAAAAGGUAAAACUAAUCCAGCAAGGCAACCCAACGUGCCGACAAUCCCGAUAGGAGCCAAGUAUCUCGUUCUCAGGGCACGACCCGAUGAGCUAGACGUCGGGUUGGCUGAAACCCCGAGUGACGAGGGGGCGCGGGACAUCGCUCAUUUAGGACCAACACCUCAUGCGGAGCACUAGCCCGGGGGUUGAUUAAUUAUCCGCGGGAGCCGGCGUGUCCCUCUGCUUUUUAUUAGGUUAUUAGGCAAAUGUAGUACCAAAGUUGGGCCUUGCCAGACCAGUCUUAAUCUAAAACGAAUUAUCAAGGGGAUCCUCAUAACAACCCCCCCGAUCGUGUUAGGAGCGCUCAUUUAUGGAACUUAAUACUGGUAGCCGAAACUAAGGGGCAAAGGAGGAACAAAACACGAGGCUAGAAAGCCGAGCCUUCCACCUUUUACCAAGUAUAUAGGUGCAUUAAAUUAAUUAGCAAUUAACAUGGUGAUAUAACAAGGAAGCCAUGUUAUCACAUGGAAGCAACUGGACUUGCAACUAGCAACGCUAACACAUGGUUAAGAAAGUGGUAACAUAGCCAAUCAGUGGUUUGCUAGGUUGUGUAUAGGUUGGAGGUUCAUGGCAAUGUUGAGAGACUGAUAUUUAACACAUGAUAGGCAACGAGACAUAGCGAAAGAAACGAGACAACUAGCAUGACAAUGAUAGUAAUGGUAUCUAGGGAAAUGAUCAUCUUGCCUGGGAUCCAGCUUGGAAGAAGAAUGAACCCGUGAAGCAGACGAACCGACGUAGUCGAACGGGUCCUCACUUUCCGACACGCUUGCGGAACUCUAUCAAGACGAAGCAAACCAGAAACAAGAAUCAACACACGAUAACACCACAAUAAAUGCACGAUAUGAUGCACAACCUAAUAUGAUGCAUGGAUGCUCAACCCCUGAUUAUGCACUUUAACAAACCUACGAAGGUAAAGAAGUGCCACCUCAUCACAAAGUGACACUUCUACAGAACUGCUCAAACUGGAAUCUAGUACCACCAUUGGAUUCCUUGGGUUUUUCUACCCCAAAUCCAUAUAUCAUACUGCCACCUUUACAUACAGAACAACUCCACAAACAGUAAAAGAAUAAAAGCACAGAGUCAAACUACAACACUAAUUCAAGAACACGGAGUGUUCUUGAGCCAGCCCAAAUUGGCAAGUCCAAAUCUGGAAAAAUGAUGAACUAAAAUAAAAAAUGGUAGGGAAAAUAUUAGGAGGGGGUCCCACCUGGCAGUGGCCCCUCACUAGUUGACAUCUGGGUCGAGGGGGCCCACUGUCAUACCCACACACCACAAUACACACACAGCCACACUAGAUCCUCACAAGAUCCACCCUCGGGUACAUAUUCAGAAAAAGAAAAAUAGGUAGAGGGGGGGGGGUUUCAAACCGUGAACCUCACCCACACAACGCCACACCUCUGCCAUUGCGCUACUACACCACUACUGAACAAAGAGGAGAACAAAUCUUCCUAUACUAGCAACUGAUGCGCAACAAGAGAAGUAAAACAAUUAAAAAAGGGGGUUGCGCUAUGCGGGACUCAAACCCAGGAUCCCCAGGUGGAGGCGCGUCUCUUGUACCACUUGGCUAGGAAGGGGGGAUCUGAACCAAAGGGGGUUGUUCCCCCCAAUAUGCUAACUACAAGGGCCGUCUUCUACCUCUAGAUCGGACUGCACAGGGGGAGGGCUCGACCCCGGCGAGCGAUGCGGCCGCAACUGCGGCUGGGAACUACCGGCGGGGGUUGCGGGGACCUAGGGGAACCCAUUCCCGACGCUAACUCUAGGGGGAGGAGCCUCACACGGGGCGCCACGCGCUUUCCUGAGCUCGGUCAUGGCGGACCUGCACGACAACAAGGGAGCAAGCGCGGCGCGAGGCGGGCAAAGUAACCUGCUGGCGCAACUAUUGGGAGCCACACACAUACACACAAGGCCCUGGCGACGCAACUGACAGAGGAACCACGUCCCUAGCCGGAGCUACGGGGAGUGGCCAUGGCAAGCCCGAUCUACACAGCUCGGGGCACACUAGUCGCAAGGAAGAAGGGGAUCAAGAAGAAUAGGUUACCUCCCUAACCUAGGACAUGGUUUGGAGGGAGGGGUCGAGCUGGAGGUGCACCGAGGUAGGUUUGAACCUUGGGAAGCCUCGGAUCCGCACAACAGGGAAGUAGACAGGGUCGGGGAAGGAGCUACAGGCGUCGACAUGGUGCGGCCGAAGAGGAAGAAGGCGCAGGGUGACCUCCUGCUUCGAUCCACACGGACGGAGGGGUUGGCGACAAUGCCUGGGUGCUACCUCGAGCUGGAGUUCAGCUUCGGCCGGAGCAUGGCGAGCAGGAAGCAGCGUGCGAGGUGGGAACUUAUGUGAGCCGCGCAGAUGCGAGAGGAGGGGAGGAAUGGAACCCUAGGGCUGAGGGGGAAGAGCAGGGCUGCUAAAUAUCCCGAUCAACGCCCUACUGGCCGUCAGAUACGAGGUGGAGAGCGAUUGAUGGUGGAGUUGGGGUCGUACAGAGGUGACGACAGCGAGGAGGAAGAAGAUCGCACUAGUGGGCUAGACCGAACAUGUAUUCGGCCGAACUAACACGCUCGGCCACUUAACUCUCUAGCACACUUGACAAUAAAACCAACACAUGGUUUAAAAAAAAUAGCCGGAGGUCAAAAUAAAAGGCGAAAACAACAAAUAAAAAUAUAGUUGGGCUUCUAAAAUGUUGCCACUGUUUAUAAAAAUAAGUGGGACAUGUUUAGGAGACCAAAAUUAAAUGCAUUUAAUUUUAAAUGACCUCUGAUUUUUAAAUAAAACCAAAAGGAAAAUAACGAAAAACCAGAGGGGUUGCCUCCACAAUUAAUAAGAAGAUUUUUGUUAAAAGAGGAGGAACAUUUUAUUUGAUUCAAAACAAAGACCUUAAAUCUGCCCCCCAAAGAAAAUCGAAAAGAGGGAGUUUCGAAAACAUGUUGCAACAAGGGUUUUUUAGGUGACACUUGAUGCACUCACUCACAUUGCACAAUCCCAAACACAUCCACACAUUGCCUCACACACAUACCAAGAUGGAACUAGCCACACAAGAUAAGCACACAAAAGAAAUGAUGUCAUGCAUGAUGCGAUGAUGAAUGCAACAAACAAACUAAUCACACGACAGCAAUGGACUAAAAGGGGAAUCUUAUGGAGUGUCGGUCCCGGGCUGUUACACAAGACUAGCAAAGCUUAAUGGGUGAGGUAUGGUUAAGAGGUGAGGCUGCAGCAACGAACUAAGCAUUUAUUUGAGUGGCUAACUUACGAGUACAAGAAUAAGGAGGGGGCUGAUCUACGCAUAACAGACGUGAACUAAUAAUGGUCAUAUGAAUGAUCAUGAACACCUACUUACGUCAGACAUAACCCCACCGUGUCCUCGGUGGGAGAAGGUACUCGCGAGAGAGACAAUCACGGUUACGCACACAGUUGGCAUAUUUUAAUUAAGUUUACUUCAAGUUAUCUAGAACCAGUGUUAAACAGAGUUUCCACGUUGCCACAUAACCACAUGCACGACUUUCCGAAAGAUUUAAUCCUGCAGGGGUGCUCCAACUAGUACAUCAAAAAUUACCACAAGCCGCAUAGAAAGCCUCUAUCGCGAAACUCGCAAUCUCCUCGGAUUUCUUAGUGGAAAACCUCAACUCUGACAAAUCUCAAAGCAUCACUGAAAUCACGAUGCACAAGACAUUCGUAAAAGGUAAACUAAUCCAGCAAGGCCGCCCGGCGUGCUGACAGUCCCGAUAGGGGCCGCCUAUCUUGUUCUCAGGGCACGACCGGAUGGGCAAGACGUCGGUUUGGCUGAAACCCCGGGUGACUAGGGGGCACUGGACAUCGCCUGAUUUGGACCAACACUCAUGCAGAGCACUCACAUGGGGGUUGAUUAAUUACCCGCGGAUGUCGGCGGGUCCCUAUGCUUUUCAUUAAGUUACUAGGCAAAUGAAGUACUAGAGUUGGGCCUUGCCACACCAGUCUUAAUCUAAAACGAAUUAUCAAGGGGGUCCCCAUAACAACCCCGAUCGUGUUAGGAGCGCUCAUUUGUGGAAUAUAACACCGGUAGCCGAAACUAAGCGGGCAAAGGUGGAACAAAACACCAGGCUAGAAAGCCGAGCCUACCACCUUUUACCAACUAUAUAGGUGCAUUAAAUUAAUUAGUAAUUAAUACGGUGAUAUAACAAGGAACUGCACCUGCAACUAGCAACACUAACACAUGGUUAAGCAAGCAGUAACAUAGCCAAUGAGUGGUUUGCUAGGUUGUAGAAGGUUGAAGGUUUUCAUGGCAAUGUUGAGAGGCUGACAUUUAACAUGUGGUAGGCAACGAGACAUAACGAAAGAAACGAGACAACUAGCAUGGCAAUGAUAGUAAUGGUAUCUAGGGAAAUGAUUAUAUUGCCUCACAUCCAGCUGGGAAGAAGAAUGACUCCGUGAAGCAAAUGAACCGAUGUAUUCGAACGGGUCCUCACGCUCCGAAGCGGAUCAGAACUCUAUAGAUACGAAGCAAACCGGAAAAAUGAAUCAACACACGAUAUUCACCACGACACAUGCAUGACACAAUGAUGCACACCCUAAUAUGACGCAUGAAUGCCCAACCCCUAAUGAUGCACUUAAACCAACCUACAAAGGUAAACAAGUGCCACCUCAUCACAAAGUGAGACUUCUUCAGAACUGCUCAAAACUAGAAUCUUGUGCCACUACUAGAUCCCUUGCGCUCUCGUACCCCAAAUCCAUAUAUUACACUGCCAUAUAUGCAUGCUGAAGAACACCACAAACACGAAACGAAAACUGACAUAGAAUCAAACUAUGGAUAUAUAGUCAAGAACAGGAACUGUUCUUGAGCCAACCCAACUUGGAAAGUCCAUAUCUGGACAUUUCCAGAAAUGGAAAUAUGCCCUAUUUAGCACAAUGAAAUUUACAAAUAAAUAUGAAAAUAACAGGAAGAUUCUAUGAGGAGGGGGUCCAACCUGGCAGUGGCCCCUCACUUGAUGACAUGUGGGUCCAAAGGGCCCACUGUCAUACCCACAUCACCACAGUAAAAUACCAGGGAAAAAAUAGGUGCAGAGGGGGGUUUGAACCUUGCACCUCAUGCACACACACCAACAAACCCUACCAUCUGGCCACUGCAGUGUAGCUGUUGUUGACGUGCAACUAUUCCUGACUUGAUGCCUCCACGGCAACGGAGCCAGAAAAGAGUUGCUUCCAGUUGCUCAACAAUUAGAAAUUGUCUUGCAAUAGCCCACGAGCGCGUGGGAUCGCGGCAGUUUUCGAGGGUAGAGUAUUCAACCCAAAUUUAUUGGUUCACACGACGGGAAGUGAAAGAAUAUUCUCAAGUAUUAGCAGCUGAAUGUGUCAGAUUCAACCACACCUGAAAGAUUAGUGUCUGCAAGCAAAGUAUCAGUAGGAAAGUAGUAUGAUAACAACGGUGCCAGAAACGAUCUGUUGACAAGGCAGACUAUUCCUAACUGUUGUAUCAAUGGCGCCAGUAAGUUGCCCAUGGACGGGAAAUAUUCUUUCCGGGCAACGGUGCGAGAAAAAGUAUUGUAGCAGGCAGUAGCAGUGUAACGAGUAACGGCAGUGGCAAGGAACUGCAGUAUUGACAGGAGUAGCAAGUAGCAGCAGUAGCGAGUAACAGCAGCAGUGAGUAACAGUAGUAGCAAUAGUAGUGGCGGCAGCAGUAGGACAAAGCAAGUAACAGUAGCAGCAACAGUAGUAACAGCAGCAGAGCAAAACAAGUAACAGCACCAGCGGGACAAACUCGUAGGCAAUGGAUCGGUGAUUUGUCGGAUGACAUUCAUCAUGCAACAGUUAUAACACGGAGAGAUAUGUGGCUAGCUCUCGUUCGUUAAUGUGAUGUAGGCAUGCGUUCCGUGUGUAGUCAUACGUGCUUAGGGAAAAGAACUUGCAUGACAUCUAUUGUCCAUCCCUCCCGUGGUAGCGGGGUCCAAAUGGAUACUACGGGAUAUUAAGGUUCUCCUUUUAAUAAAGAACCGAACCAAUGCAUUAGCACUUGGUGAACACAUGAACUCCUCAAACUAUGGUCAUCACCGGGAGUGGUUCCGGUUAUUGUCACUCCGGGGUUGCCGGAUCAUAACACAUAGUAGGUAACUACAACUUGCAAGAUCGGAUCUAAAAAACACAUAUAUUGGUGACAACAUAAUAAUUUCAGAUAUGAAAUCAUGGCACUCGGGCCCUAGUGACAAGCAUUAAGCAUGGCAAAGUAGUAGCAACAUCAAUCUCAGAACAUAGUGGAUACUAGGGAUCAAUCCCCGUCAAAACUAACUCGAUUACAUGAUAGAUAUCAUCCUACUCAUCACCGCCCAGCGAGCAUACAAAUAGAUUACUCACGAACGAGGAAGAGCUUCAUGGAAAAGGAGAGGGAAGAAGGUUGAUGAUGACGAUGGCGACGAUCUCCUUGAUCCGGAGCCCAAAACGUACUCCAGAUCUGCCCUCCAGAUGAAGAACAGGAUGUGGCGGCGCCUCCUUAUCGCAAACGCGAUGAAAUCUUCUCUCUUGAUUUUUUUUCGGGACGAAAGGGAAUAAAUAGAGCUGAGUUUGGGGGCGGCAGAGCCACGUGGGCCCCACAAGCCCUGACGCCAUGGCCUGGGGGGCUGGCCACGGCCACAGGGCUUGUGGCCCACUGGUUCACCCCCUCCGGUGGAUCUUUGCGCAGGUAUUUUUCAUAUUUUCCAGAAAUAUUCUCCGUAAAUUUUCAGGACGUUCCGAGAACUUUCAUUUCUGCACAAAAACAACACCAAGACAAUUCUGCUGAAAACAGCGUCAGUCUGGGUUAGUUCCAUUCAAAUCAUACAAAUUAGAGUCCAAAACAAGGGCAAAAGAGUUUGGAAAAGUAGAUACGAUGGAGACGUAUCAGCUGCUCACCAUGGGGAAAAUCCACUAAAUGGCUACUGUGCACACAACCACAAAAUUGCAGCCACAAUACACAUCGCAAUUAAAAAGGGGGCCAGGGGGAUUCGAACCCACAACCCCCUAGUGGAGGCGCGGCGCUGGAUCCACUAGGCCGCGAGGGGGGAUGUGAACAAGAAGCGGUUCGGCCCCAUAUAGGUUAACUACACAGGCGCCCUUCUUCUAUUUCCAGACCGGAACUGCACAGGAGAAGGGAUCGACACCAGCGAGCGGUGAGGCAACAACAGUGGCAAGGAACUACCAGCGGGGGUGCGGGAACCCUAGGGGGUUCUAUUCCCGAGGCUAGUGCGGGGGAAUUCAAACCCUAGGCGGGGCGCAAGAAGAGCUUCUUGGCCAUGGCGGACCGGCGGACCGGCGAACGGCGGCGCUGCUACUCGCAGAGGGGAACAAGGAUGCGGGAGAGGGUAAGGGGCGACACUGGCUCACCCUGGGCACGGAGAAGAGGAUGAACACGCGUAGAAAAGGAAGAGGGGCUCGGGGUGGCGAUGCAACGGGGCGCUUUCCGCACCAGCGACGACGACGACGGGGUCGACGCCACGGAAGGCCCCGGCCUUCCCUAGCGGCGGGAAUGGAACGAGGAUGCCUCCUGGAUCCUCGAGGGUGCCUUGGAUGCCACGGAGAUGGGCUGCCGGUGACGAGGGAACGCGGGGACGAUGGCGAUGCUCUGUGCCUCCCUAGCUUACUGAAUUUCAACGAACCCUCUCUGAAUCUUACCUGCGAGGGAGAAAAGAUGGAGGGGGAAGAAAUGGCGGCUGCGACAGGAGGAAGUGCGGAACCCUAGGACACGCUGGGGGCUAUAUAGGCGCGACGGGAGACGGUCCUCGGCAUCCGUGAGGUACCACGGCGACAACCUCUCUCUCACGCGCUCUACUGACUGACGAAAAGAGGAGAGGGACAGGGACGACGUCAGGAAGGAGAGGGGAAUGGGUGGCUCGCCACAGAGAAGGGAAUGGGCCACGAGCCCAUCCUGCUCUCUCACUCCCUCUAAAAAAUUAAACACAGGCUGGCUUUUAAAAUAAAAACAAACCAUAUUUGAAAUAAAAGCCAGGGAGGAGGAAAUAGAAAAAGAUUAAAACUGAAAAUAAAAAUAAGCUUCUAAAUUGUUCCUCCUAUUUAUAAAAAUAGGUGAGGCAUUUUAGAGCAAAGUAAAAUAACUUGUUUAAAUAAAAUCUGGUCCUGUUUUAAAUAAAACAAAAGGAAAAUAACUUCAAAUAAGUGAGUGUUGCCACCCACAAUUAAUAAAAGGACUUUUAAAGAAGACGAACAUUUUUAUUGGGGUCAAAACUGAAACUUUAAAAGAGCCACAAAACAAUUGGGAGAAAGAGGGGUUUUAUGGACAUGGUGUAACAAGGGUUUUGAAGAGGCCAAUGUUGCACCCACUCUCAUCACAAGAUCACACAUGAACACAUGCACUCACAGACAUCACCAAGGUGGCACCCCCAACACAAGAUCAAACAAGGAAGACAAAGAUAGGAUGCUAUGCAAGAUGCGAUGAUGAAUGCGACAAACAAUCUAAUCACGUGACGGCAAUGAAAAAGAAGGGAAGUCUUCUGGUACGUUGGUCUGGGGCUGUUACAUUUGUCUGGACUCCGGAUCAUUUGACAGUAAUAGCAUUGUCUUCUGCAAUCCUAUGAUAGGCUUUUCUAUUGAUCAUAGGUCACUUGGGGGCUUCCAACUCAGCGAGUUUUAGCUUUCUCACCCUCUUGAUCCCGCAAAGACGCCACAAAAUGGUUAUACCUGUGUGUAUGUUUGAUGCGACUCCGAUUAGGUGACUCCGUGUAUUAUUGACUAUUCAAUCCAUUGUGGACCCUGAAUCAGCAAGGUUAAAACAUUGGUUUAUCACGUGAGAGCCAGCAUACUGAAGCUAGGGUAAACCAUGGGUUAUCAUGCCCGCUUCAUUGUAGCAAGACUUGAGCCUCAAAAGACGGUCUCUUUUCACUGUGUAUCACUGAGCCGGAUUAUUAUUGAUUUAUAUUAUCAUGACUUGAUCGUUUCAAGUACACACUCUAUUUUUCUGGCUCAUAAAAGAGUGCCCGGGUCAUAAAGUCAUAGUGUUGUCAUGAACAAUUCCAAAUUUUAUGGGUCAGCGGACAUAAAUUGUGAAUUCUAGGGCCAAGUUACAAUAACUUGCCUCAUGAUGAUUCAAGAAGCUAGAUUUUGAGCACGGAUCAGCCAAGACGGAACAAAUUAAAAGACUAAAGAUAUAUCUGGUUCAUAUGCAUAAGUACUAAAGGUGAGUUAGCAAAGAUUUGGGCAGAUUUAGACCCCUUGCCAUCUUGGCCAAAACCAAGAGUUUUACAAACAUGCGAAAGGCACGACAUAGGCGAUAGAGCUAUUGAUCUAGGGAAUAUAUUACAAGGCACUUGAGGCCCAACCGAUGAAAUCAAAGUUUUUCUCAUAACCCGGCCUUUACAUUUUCCAGGUUAAGCUUUGUCUUGAUCUUCAGCUAGUCUUCUACUCGAGCCGCCGGUCCUAUAAUAUGGAGACCAUUCGGAUUCUAGUUGCAAUGGGACAAGGAUUCAAACAUGGCUUCCUCAUUCAAGAUAGACAACGGGUCGACAUCAGGGGCAAAGAGUUGCUUGCGACGCUGUGGAGUGAGACUAACCAAUUUAAAAAUGGGCGGUUGAACUUGUUGGAAAUAUUCCCUAGGGGCAAUAAUAAAAUAGUUAUUAUUAUAUUUCCUUGUUCAAGAUAAUCAUUUAUUACUCAUGCUAGAAUUGUAUUGAUUGGAAACUCAAAUACAUGUAUGGAUACAUAGACAACACAAUGUCCCUAGUAAGCCUCUAAUGGACUAUCUCGUUGAUCAAAGACUGUCAAGGUUUCCUAACCAUAGACAUGGGGUGUCAUUUGAUAACGGUAUCACAUCAUUAGGAGAAUGAUGUGAUCGACAAGACCUAAAUUAUAAACAUAGCAUAUGAUCGUGUUAGUUUACUCCUACUGUUUUCUGCAUGUCAAGUAUCUGUUCCUAUGAUCAUGAUAUCAUGCAACUCCCGGACACCAGAGGAAUGCCAUAUGUGUAUCUAACGUCACAACGUAACUAGGUGACUAUAAAGGUGCUCUACCUGUAUCUUCGAGGGUCUUUGUUGGGUUGGCGUGGAUCGAGACUCGGAUUUGUCACUUCAUAUGACAAAGAGGUAUCUCUAGGCCCACUCCAUAAUACAACAUCACAAUGAGCUUGCAAGCAAUGUGACUAAGGAGUUUGUCAUCGGAAUUUGUAUUAUGAAACGAGUAAAUGGACUUGCCGAUAACGAGAUUGAGCUAGGUAUGGAGAUACCGACGAUCGAAUCCCGGUCAAGUAACAUACCGAUGCACAAAGGGAAUAGCAUACAUGAUUAGUUGAAUCCUUGAAAUUAAGGUUCGACCGAUGAAAGAUCUUUCUACAAUAUAUGGGAAUCAAUCUAGGCAUCCAAUUCCCGCUAUUGGUUAUUGACAGGAGAGUGUCUUGGUCAUGUCUACAUAGUUCUCGAACCCGCGGGGUCUACACACUUAAGGUUCGGUGAGGGUAUAAGCAUACUUGAGUUAUUGUGUUGGUGAAUGAAGGUUGUUCAGAGUCCCGGAUAACAUCUCGGACCCGACAAGGAACUCUGGAAUAGUACGGAGGUGAAGAUUGAUAUAUAGGAUGAAGUUCAUCGGAGUCCGAAAGUGUUCCGAGGUGUACCGAGGGAAUCAGAGAGUGUCGAAAGGAGUUUUGGGAGGCCCUAAUAAUUGUUGGGGGGCUCAUAGGCCAAGGAGAGGGGCACCACAGCCACCAGGGGGAGGUGGGCCUCCUUGGGAUGCCACUAGCCCAACUUGGGUGGAAAGGCACCCAUGUGAAGGGGCCAUCCUAACCCUAGCCGCCACCCCUCCCCUCCCUUUGCCGGAAACCCUAGGGCGCCCUCUCCUCUCCCUUCGCCCUAUAUAGAGAGAGGUAGAGAGAGGGCAGCGACAGUACAAUCUUACCGCGAUUUUGCACCUCCUCUCCCUCAUAGUUUGUCUACUCCAAAAACCCCAUGGCGAAGUCCUACUGAGCUCUCACCACCAAGACCUCACCACGUCGUCCUGCUGACGGAGGACUCAGGCUGCUACUUCACAAUCGCUCGAUGGAUCGAGGAGGUGAAAGCAUCACCAAGCUGUACGCAUGUUGAACACGGAGGUGCUAUCCGUUCGGCUCUUGAUCGGGAGAUCGUGGGACGGUUCAUGAUUGGAUCGCGAAUACGUACCACUACACAUCAACCGCGUUCUCGAACGCUUCCGCUUAGCGAUCUACAAGGGUAUGUAGAUUCAAUCUUUUCUCUCGUAGAUGGUCAUCACCAUGGAUAGAUCAUGUUUGCACGUAGGAAAUUUUUUGUUUCCCAUGCAACGUUCCCCAAUAGUGGCAUCUUGAGCCAGAUUUAUGCGUAGAUGACAUCUCGAGUAGAACACAAAGGAGUUUGUGGGCGUUGAUAUUCAGAUUCCUUCCCUCCUUAGUAUUUUCUUGGUUCAGCANNNNNNNNNNNNNNNNNNNNNNNNNNUCAGCAGUAUUGUUGGAUGAAGCUGGCUAGACCAAAUUUACUCGUAUGCUUACGAGAGAUUGGUUCCAUCGACUAACACGCAACUUGGUGCAUAAAGAUGGCUAGCGGGUGUCCGUCUCUACUACUUUAGUUUAAUCGGAUUCGACAAAAGGAGAUCCUUGUAGAAGGUUAAAUACCAACUUGCAUAUCACCGUUGUCGUUUUGCGUAGGUAAGAAACGUUCUUGCUAGAUACCCCUAGCGGCCAUGUAAAAUUUACAACAACAAAUUAGAGGACGUCUAACUUGUUUUUGCAGGUUAUGCAUGUGAUAUUAUAUGACCAAUGACAUGAUGAGAUGUAUUUGAUGUAUGAAAUGAUCAUGCUGUAAUAGUUAAUAUCAACUUGCAUGUUUGAUGCUACGGCAACAGGCAGGAGCCAUAUGGUUGUCUUUAUUUUAAUCGAUUGGUGAUGCUUUACUUUAUCGCUAAAUUAGUAGCAAUAGUAGUACGAGCAUAGAUGGCGCGACAACCUCGAUGGUAGCACAAUGAUGGAGAUCAUGGUGUGGCGCAUGUGACGUUGGAGAUUAUGCCGGUGCUUUGGAGAUGGAGAUCCAAAGCACAAGAUCAUGGCCAUAUUAUGUCACUUAUGAUUUGCAUGUGAUGCUAAUCCCUUUUAUGCACCUUGUUUUGCUUAGGACGAUGGUAGCAUUAUAAGGUGAUCCCUCACUAAAAUUUCAAGACGAAAUUGUGUUCUCCCCGAGUGUGCAUCGUUGCGAAAGUUCGUUGUUUCGAGACACCACGUGAUAAUUGGGUUUGAUGGACUCUACAUUCACAUCCAACGGGUGCAAGACAGUUUUGCACACGCGGAACACUCGGGUUAAACUUGACGAUCCUAGCAUGUACAAACAUGCCCUGGGAACACAAGAGACCGAAAGGUCUAACAUGAGUCAUAUAGUUGAUAUGAUGAGCAUGAAGAUGUUCACCAUUGAAACCAGCUCAUCUCACGUGAUGAUCGGACUUGGGUUGGUGGAUUUGGAUCAUGUGUCACUCGAAUGACUAGAGGGAUGUCGAUUUGAUUCGGAACAUCGCGGGACGGUUCUGAUUGGAUCGGGAAGACGUACCACUACAUCAACCACGUUCUUAAAUGCUUCUGCUUAGCGAUCUACAAGGGUAUGUAGAUUCAAUCUCUCCUCUCGUAGAUGGUUUUCAUCAUGGAUAGAUCUUGUUUGCAUGUAGGAAAUUUUUUGUUUCCCAUGCAACGUUCCCCAACAGAACUCAGGCGUUGCUUGAGUCAUAUUCUAAAUGAUAGAUCUUCAAAGACAUGUCACUUACAAGCUGACUGGCCAACAUACGAGCCAUCGAGACGCACUAACGAUAAUCAUCAUCUUUAAAAGUUGAUCCGUCCGCCUUCAACUCUAGAAACCCCUAGUCAUUUCUACCGGGUCAAGCUCAGCCGAGUAAGCCAGAGCCCGACUCAAAGAAUAUGUGUCUCCAACACGAGCGGUUGAUCUCUUGAGCUCUCCAAUUUGGUUGGGGAUUGUAAAAAGGAACGCCAUCACAUCUUUUGCUCUUUGUUCCCCGUGACAACUCUGAUUGUGCAUAAGCUUCUGGUAUAGAGCUACUCUAUCAAUAGAUAUACAUCCUUGAGCUUUAACAAGCAAUUAUCUUGAAGAUUUCACGUACGAUGUCUUGCAAAGAUUAAAGCACAUAAGUCACCAUGCGAUUGGUCUUAGCGAUUGAGUAUUAAGUCGGUUAAUGAAAGGCUUCCGAAGAUACUCAACAAAGAUGGCUUGAGUCAUGUGAUCAAUAUGCCUUUUUAACCCAGAUAGCUCUGUAGAGACAGUUUUCAGUUGAUCUUCAGCAUCUUUAGAAAGCUUGGUGAAGGCGGCUUUCUCAGUUUUGAAGGAUUUUCUUUAUUUUUCAAAGCCUGCCUUGAUCUUCUCCAUUUCCUCCAAGGAUAAUCGAAGUUUUUUCUCAAGCUCCGCUCAGGCAGUUUGUCCUACCUCAAGAGCCUUUCUCAAAUCGAUGACUUUUUACUCAGUGGCCUUCAAAGUUUCUUACACAAAAAUUGGGGUAACAAUAAGCCAAAGGCACGACAAUAUGAUGGAUAUAAUAAAGAAGACUAUAAACAAAUUCCAAGCAGAUUACAAGCAAUAUACUUGGCACUUGUGGGCUAAUGCAUGUCAGUUCUUUUAUAAACAUAUAAUAGAGAGUACCCAACUCAUCUCAAAAAGAUGAGCCAUCCCUUGAGGGCUACAGGUCAUUUCUUUCACAAUAAUCGUCAAGACCCGGUUAAUCUCAAGAAGAUAAGCCCACCCUUGAGGGCUACAUGUCGAUUUCUUUGACAAUAAUCUUCAAGUCCCGGUUCAUAUCAAGAAGAUAACCGACCCUUGGGGGCUACAGGUCGAUUUCUUCAAAUCAGAUCAUCAAAAGACCCGAUUCAUCUCAAGAAGAUGAUCCGGCUCUUGGGGGCUACAGCAGGAUAUAUGGAAUACAAAGUACACAGUAAGGUGGAGCAUACCUCAUAUUGUAGCUUCAUCAUAUUCAAAAGGUCGGUUUCCACUUGUCGGCUUGCAGAAAAACGCUCAAGAUAACCACCAUGCAAUUCCUCAAUGCUAAAAGUAUCAUAAUUUGGAAGCUCUAGUUUAGUUUUUCCCUUGUCAGACUAGACAACCUCCUCCUUUGUGGCAAGCUUUGCGAACACAUCAGAUGGUCCAGGAGCAGUAUAACUCAACCCAAUGAUGGACACUUCCACAUUCUUGUCACGAGAAACAUCUUCAAAGGGUUCUUGAGGAAUGGGCGGAUCAGUACCAUUUGUCGUGUUAGUUUCAACAUCCAUAGGCGAAGCAGUAACUAUUUCUAUUUCAUGAUGAGGUAAACCGAGUUAUAUUUUUUGAUGAUCUUCAACACGCCUAGUCAUUUCGGAAGCUGCCGUGUCUAGAAUUGCUGGCUCAAGAACUUCAGCAUUAACAAAUGAACCGCCAAGGUUCCUCUUCUUGGCCGUGUCUCUACAAAUACAAGAGGGCGGGAUAAAUUUAGAGUUUCACCAAGCGAACAUAUGAUACAAAAAGAAGGAAAAACUUACCCCUGGUUGAUAACAAAAGGUGGUAACUUUGUGGCAGAUGAGUCACCAGAUGAAGGGGUGUUUCCUUGUAAUUUGAAUCAGUGGGUUUGAGAGGUUGUUGUGGAUGAGAUUGAGUUGGACUAUGAGGCACCUUGUCUUGAAGAUUUCGAACAAUUGCCUGGCUGGGUAAGCCGGUUGUAGGAAUAUCAGAGCCACUCCGACCCUGGCUCCUUGAAGAAUGAUGGGUCUUAUUCAAAAUAAAAUCAGGAUCCAAAUAAGCGUCUCGGUGAGAAAAUCAUACUUUCUUGAUGAAUUGCCUUAUUUCCCUUAAAGGCAAAGAUUACGAGCCAGAGGAAGUAGAAAUUACCUCAACAUUGUUGGCUGACUCAUACCAGCAUCACCCUAAUGGCAAAAAUGUUAGCAAUAUUAAUAAAAAAACAACUAAGAAAGUCAAAUUCUACCUCCAUAGGUACACCAGCCGAUGGAGACUUUCUCCUAAAUGAAUAAGAAGUGGCAGACGCCUUGCUCUUUUUCUUGGUGGGGGCGGCUUUAGGGUUGCUAGCUGGGACUUUCCUUUUCGUCUUCUAGAAUGAAGUAGAUGCCCGCAAGGUUUGAUGAUGUGAGUAAAGGACAAAAUACUUGAAGUUUGGAAAGGGUUUACAAAGAUAAUCAAGAGAUGUUUGGGUAAGUUUAUCACUAGAGGAGUUGGGUUGAGAGCAUUAAAGGGCUUCAAACCAAUUUGAUUACACAUUGCUUGAGUUUCCCCUAGCAACUUCUUCACAACUUUAUUUUUGUCAUCUUCUCUCAAAACCGUUGCAUUAUAACUUUGUGGAUCAUCCACAUCGCCAGAAUAAUUGCACAUAAGAUUACUUCGGCGGCUUAGUGGGGGGAUCAUCCUAGAUACCCAGCACCGGGUCAAGUCUACUCAUGUCAAACCCCGAGACUAUAGAUCCGCCAAUUAUGGGAGUACAAAGGCAAAUUUGUCACGCUCUUCUUGAGAAACUCAGCCAGGAAGUUCAAACUCCAUUGGGAGGCGAUCUGAUCUAUAACCCGACAGUGGGUUCUCAUUUGUUGGUGUGGUGUUCCGGUAGUAAAAUCAAGUUCUAUCCCACCCUUUGGGAUGGCUUGGCAAAGCAGCAGAAGGAAAGCCACCACCUCUACGUCUUUGAAGUGAAAUACCACCCACAUCUUGACUAGGACCAUCGUUGCACUCUGUAUGGCGAUUCAAAUAAAACAACUCCAGGAAAAGUGAAACAGUGUGUUCCAUUUGCAAGUACACCUCACAUAAGACUUAAAAUUGGCAAAGGUUUGAUAUGUAGUUAGGGGCCAAAUCUUGCGGGUGAAGGUAAAUAAAUUUGAGUGCGUCCUAGAAGAACUUUGACCCAAGAGGAGAAAAGCCUCUGAAAAGACAGUCUAUGAAAAUUACAACCUCUCCUUCAUUUGGAUUUGGGUGUGCCUCUCCUUGAGGAGCGUGCCAUCCAAUUGCUUCCUUGGAGGUAAGCAAACCUUGAUCUGCAUAAAUCUUGGAGUAAUUCUUCCAAAACUUGUGAAGGCACACAAUUAUAGAUAGAAGUCUUUGACAUGAUAACACGCCUAGCUACUAGUGAGAAGGUUGCAAAAACACUUGUGUUAUAAUCAAGGAUAAGGCAGUAUGAAAGUUUAUAGCUGAAGAGGCGCCUAAAGAUAAGUCGGUACCCAAACAUUAGCAAUAUCCACAUGUGGCAGGUUAUGGUCGUAUAGACAAGCUAGAGAUGAUAGAGGCGUCAUACAUCAAAUAGAGGGUUUUUUUAUGAUUUCUCUAAGUCCAAAACAAACAGUUUUCCUACAGUUUGGUCACAAUUUUGGAUCUAGAAAAGAUUCAAAAAGGGGAACGAAUGAUAGAACCUAAAAGUGAAAGCGGUAGCAGUAUGGGCUGCAAGUUCCUAAGAGAAUCUGGGUGUAUUAGACUAAGAGGAAGCCAUAAUGUAAGGGCAGUCUCUUACCUUCAAUGGUUUGGUGAUGAUGACAACUGACUAUGUUAUCUAACCAGGUGUCAAGUUGUUCAAGUAUCAUGUGUGAGACACAAGACGGUUAGGUAUUCCCUCCAAAGACGGUUUUCUCUACAUGUUUAUUCUCUUUGGUCAUGGGGACCCCAUACUAUUAAGAGGGAAUCCACAUUGGAAGUUCUUGGGUGAAUCAAUUCUCUCUAACAUUCUUUUGCUCCCAACUCAUUCCAUCGCAUCAAAGAGAGAGGCCCAUCUUUCCUUCCAAGCUUGCCGAUUAUAUCGCUUCCUCGGGCGGUUGUACCGCCCAAACCCUAGAUUGGCGAACCAUCCCAGCACUAGGAUUCAACCGGACAAGGUUCUGUUGAGCUCCGGUUGUUGGGCAGUGGUGGCCCGGUUGUACUCCUAUAUUAAUAUAGCCCGGUACUACAAGUGUUCUAGGUGGUUAUACCGCUUGGGACUUAGUCGUGUAUAGCGAUCGAGGUGAGUGGAACCACCGGCCAAGUUUCUGUUAUGGUCCAGUGGUUGGGCGGUGGCUUGGGCGGUUAUACCGCUAUAUUACGGAGCCUGGUUGUACCGCCCAUGUCAUCGGUUGAACCGCUGCCAUGUAAAAAUGGUUGUAAUAGUUGGAAAGUGGGGUGCCUAUAUAAAGGGGUGGUUCUUCCACCUCUGUCUUAUCUCUUACCUCUCUCCACCAUUGAUGCACUCCAAGAUUUCAUGCCCGAUCUCUCUCUCUAGACACCCAAACUUGUUUGUCUUGCUAGGGAUUGAAGGAGGAGAUCUAGAUCUACACUUCCACCAAAUUUUUUUUGAUUCCCCCAUAGUUUCUUGUGUGGAUUUUGUUACUCUUGGGUUUUUUAGCACCCUAGACGAAAGAGGUCAGCUUGAAGCCAUAUUCCAUUGUCGUGAAGCUUUGUGGUUGCAUUGGGAGCCUCCAAUUGAGUUGUGGAGAGAGCCCCAAUCUUGUUUGUAAAGGUCCGGUCGCCGCCUUCAAGGGCACCACUUAGUGGAAUCACGACACCUUGCAUUGUUUGAGGCGUGAGGAGAAUAUGGUGGCCUUAGUGGCAACUUGGGGAGCAUUGUAUCUCCACACUGCUCUAACGGAGACAUACUUCCCCUCAUAGGGAAGGAGCUUCAGAAACACAUCCUCAUCUUCAUCGGUUCCACUUGUGGUUCUUUCUUACCUUUACUUGUAUUUACUUCUUGCUUACUAUUGUUGUUGUUAGCAUCAUAUAGGUUACUCAUUUAGUUGCAUAUCUAGACAACCUAUUUGUUGCUAAACUUAAUUUAUUAAAAGAAGAGAGGGUAAAAGUGAAAAGAGGGGGCCCUCCACUCAUAUUUAUAAUGCUCGAAGUGACAGCUAUUAGGCACGGGAACAGAGGAGCCGUAGUAAAACAUUGAGGAAAAUGACGCCUCGAUUUUCGGCACAAAUACGCAUGUAGAGAUGAGUUGUGAUGUCACCACAUCCGCAUUACCUUCUCGUGGGUGACGUCAUAUGCAGACAACAUGAGGAAAAAGUCACAAAGUCUAACAGUGUUGUGCGUGACCAUCUGAAGAAACUAAGAAGACACAAGUGCAAGGUAAGGGCUAACCCGCCUGACGGAAGUACAUAAUAUUGACAUGAACAAGGUCGAAUCAACCAAGGGCCUAAUCUCGGGGAUAUGACCCCGCGGUAUAACCCGCCGCUUGGUCCGAUUAAGCCAUAGGCAGCCUAAGGAGCAUAUGUUCGAUGUGUCGUGGAGAAGACAAGAGGGCGAGCCGGAGGACUUACCAAGUAAGCCUCCAGGCGGCCCAUACCGAAAGAAUGCGACUCAAGGCCCAUAAAGUGGAAGAUGCCAGAACCUCUCCUAACUUGAGAAGAAAGAUGAAAUAGAAUUGUAGUAGGUCACAUGCGUUUAUUCGACCCAGACUCUGUUGUAAACUCGAGGCCUCUACCUAUAUAUAAAGGGGAUCCCUCAAGCUAGAAAGAUCAAGCAAGAAACUCUCAAGAGCUCGGUUAGCUACUCCGCAUCCUUGUAAUCGAGAUCUCCAUCAAUAUAGGCACAAAAGCAGGACGUAGGCUUUUACCACCAAAGGAGGGGCCGAACCGGGGUAAAUGUGUCUCCCGUUCCCAAUCAACCUCUUUGAGUCACCACGCAGCAACGAUGCCCUCACCACGAAGUCCUCUCACGAGGACAUCUGCCAUGACAAAACCAUGACAACUUGCAUGUCGAUGAGUACGACAACCCAUAGGAGCCAAAGGGUUGUCUUUAUUUAUUUGUGUCUUUUUGUUUUACUUGAUCGCUAUGAGUUAGCAAUAGUGGUAGAAGCAUAGUUGGCGCGACGACCUCAAUGGCGACACGGUGAUGGAGAUCAUGGUGUCAUGCCGGUGAUGAUGGAGAUCAUGUCGGUCCUUUGGAGAUGGAGAUCAAAAGCACAAGAUGACGAUGGCCAUAUCAUGACACUUUAUGAUUUGCAUGUAAUGUUAAUCCUUUUAUGCAUCUUAUUUUGCUUAGGACAACGAUAGCAUUAUAAGAUGAUCCCUCUGUAAAGUUUCGACAUAAAAUUGUGUUCUCCCCAAGUGUGCAGCGUUGCGAAGGUUCGUGGCUUCGAGGCACCACGUGAUGAUGCGGUGUGAUAGACUAUACGUAACCAUACAAUGGGUGUAAACACAUUUUGCACAUGCAGAACACUUGGGUUAAACGUGAUGAGCCUAGCAUGUACAGACAUAGCCUCGAAACACAGGAGACCGAAAGGUCAAACAUGAGUCAUAUAGUAAAUAUGAUCAACCUCGAUAUGUUCACCAUUGAAACCACCUCAUCUCACGUGAUGAUCAGACUUGGGUUGGUGGAUUUGGAUCAUGUUACACUCGAACAACCUGAGGGAUGUUGAGUUGAGUGGGAGUUCUUAAGUAAUAUGAUUAAUUGAACUCAUUAUCAUGAACAUAGUAUAAAAUAUCUUUGCAAAUUGUGUUGUAGAUCAAUGGCUCGCGUUGUAGCUCCCCUUGUAUUUUCGAUACGUUCCUAGAGAAAACUAAGUUGAAAGGAGAUCAUAGAAAUUAUGCGAACUUGGUCCAUGAUCCAAGGAUUGUCCUUAGUUGUUGCACAGAAGGCUUAUGUCCUUGAUCCACCGCUCCGUGCACCACCCCCUCAGGCGUCAUUUGUGGGUGUUGAGAACAUCACGCAAGCACGCUUUGAUGACUACUUGAUAGUUCGGUACGUCAUGCUUUACAACUUUGAAUUGAGGUUCUAAAGACGUUUUAAACGUCAUGGAGCAUAUGAAAUGUUCCAUGAGCUGAAAUUGGGAUUUCAGGCUCAUGCCCGUGUUGAGAGGUAGGAGACAUCCGACAAGAUUCUUUGCCUAAUAUUUGAAGGAGAAUAGGUCAAUCGGUGAGCAUGUGCUCAGAUUGUCCGGGUGCUACAAUUCCUUGAAUCUAGAGUUAGUUGUUCUUCCAGAUAAGAUAGUGAUUGACAUAGUUCUCCAAGUCAAUGACACCAAGCUACUGGAGCUUCGUGAUGAACUAUAACAUGCCAGGGAUGUAAAUGAUGAUCCUUGAGAUAUUCGUGAUGUUUUAGACGGAGAAGGUAGAAAUUAAGGAGCAUCAAGUGUUGAUGGUUAGUAAAACCACUAGUUUCAAGAGGGCAAGGGCAAGAGAGGAAACUUCGAGAAUGGCAAGCCUUUUGUCAUUCCAAUGAAGAAACCCAGGGUUGAACCCAAACCCGAGCCUGAGUGCUUCUGUUGUGACGGGAACCGUCAAUGAGAACGAAACUACCCGAGAUGCCUGGCAGAUAAGGAGGUUGGCAAUGUCAACAAAAGUAUAUUUGAUAUACAGUUUAUUGACGUGUGCCUACUAGUGCUUGUUGUAGCUCCUGGCUAUUUGAUACCAGUUCAGUUGCUAAUAUGAUUAACUUGAAAUAGGAUUUGUGGAAAAGACAAAGACUAGCUAAGGGUGAGGUGUCAAUGUGUGUUAGAAGUGUUUCCAAGGUUGAUGUGACCACCAUUGCACGCUCCAUCUACCUUCAGGAUUAAUGGUAAAAAUAAAUAAAUGUUAUUUAGUUUUUGCAUUGAGCAUGAAUAUUAUAUUGAUUUUGUUUAUUGUGAGAUGAUUAUUCACGUCGGUUAGAGAAUAAAUGGGUUAUUCUAUUUAUAUGAAUAAUAUAUUUUAUGAUCAUACACCUGAUGUGAAUGGUUUAUUGAAUCUUGUUCGUACUGAAACACGCAUUCAUAGUAUUGAUGCCAAAAGAUGUAAAAUUAGUAAUGAUAGUACCGCUUACUCGUGGCAAUGCAUCUUAGGUCAUAUUGGUGUAAAACACAUGAAGAAACUCCAUGCUAAUGGAUCUUUGGACUCACUCGAUUUUGAAUCGGUUGAGACAUGCGAACCAUGCCUCUAGGGCAAGAUGACUAAAACCGUUUUCCAUUGAGAUGGAGCGGGCAAGUGACUUAUUGGAAAUAAUACAUUUUGAUGUAUGUUUUCCAAUGAGUGCCAAAGCACGUAGUGCAUAUCAUUAUUUUCUUACUUCACAAAUGAUUGGAGUAGAUAGAUGAAUCACAAGUCUGAAAUGUUGAAGAUUUCAAGCAAUUCCAAAGUGAAGUUGAAGAUCGUUGUGACAAGAGGAUAAAAUGUAUACGAUGUGGUCGUGGAGGUGAAUAUCUAAAUUAUAAGUUUGGUAUACAUUUAAGACAAUGAGUAAAUUGUUUCACAACUCAUGCCAGCUGGAACACCAUAGUGUGAUGGUAUGUUCGUACGUCGUAUCCGUGCAGUAUUGGUAUCGUGCGUACAAUGAUGUCUCUUACCAAUUUUACACUAUCGUUUUUGGGUUAUGUAUUAGAGACAACCACAUUCACUUUAAAUAGUGAACCAUAUAAUUUCGUUGAGAUGAUACCGUAUGAACUAUGGUUUGGCAAGAAACCUAAGGUGUCGUUUCUUAAAGUUUGUGGCUGCGAUGCUUAUGUCAAAAGAUUUCAACCAGAUAAGCUCGAAACCAAGGAGGAUAAAUGCAUAUUCAUAGGAUAACCAAAGAAAAAAGUAUGGUAUACCUUCUAUCUCAGAUCCGAAGGCAAAGUAUUUUUUCCUAAGAAUGGGUCCUUUCUCAAGAAAGAGUUUCUCUCAAAAGAAUUGAUUGGGAAGAUGCUGGAACUUGAUGAGGUUACUGAACCAUCACUUCAACUAGAGAGUAGUCACUACUGGAAUCCAGUAAUUUGCCAUCAGCCAGUUCUUUGUCAUCUGCUGGCUGAUGGCAAAGAAGCUCUUUGCCGUCAGCUGACCUAAAGCGAAUGGUAAAGGGCUCACUGAUGGUAAAAAGAAUGUUUGCCAUCGGCCAGGGCUUUGCCGUCUGCUUGCGGACGACAAAGAGACCUAGGGCAGACGACAAAGAGGGCAGAUGGGUCUCAGUAGACCUUGGGCCUGGCCAGGUCCAACGGACGGGCUCUGUGCCAUCCGCCUGGCCUUUGCCAUCCGCCGUGGGGCCCUUUGCCGUCCGGGGCAAACGGCAAAGCUGACGUCCCUAUAACGGCUGUCUCCCCCUAGCCCCUCGCUCCACUACCCGAGUCCCCACUCUGUCUCUCUCUCCACCGUCGUGCGCGCCUCCCUCCCGCACCACCGGCGGCCGGCCACCCCUGCGCCAACCCCUAUGCCGACCCCUGCGCCACCCCCUGUGCCACCCCCUCACCUGCCCNCGCCGCACAGCACCCCACCGCCGCCACCACUGCCCCCCGCCGCCGCACUGCCCCCAGCGAUGCCCCACUACCCCGUCGCACCCGUCCUCCUCGCCGCCCCGACGCCCCAGCCGCCCCCGCCGGUGAGUCCCCCCAUUUUUAUUUUGUUUUUCCUUAUUUUUAUUUAUGUUAAAUUAGUUAGGUUAGUUUUUUAGUUUAUUAGGUUAGUUAGGCUAGUUAGUUAGGUUGUUAAAUUAGUUAGGUUAGUUAGGCUAGUUAGUUAGGUUGUUAAAUUAGUUAGGUUAGUUAGGCUAGUUAGUUAGGUUGUUAAAUUAGUUAGGUUAGUUAGGCUAGUUAGUUAGGUUGUUAAAUUAGUUAGGUUAGUUAGGCUAGUUAGUUAGGUUGUUAAAUUAGUUAGGUUAGUUAGGCUAGUUAGUUAGGUUGUUAAAUUAGUUAGGUUAGUUAGUUAACUUGGUUAGUUAGGUGGAGGAGGAGAAGAGGAGAAGAGGAGGAGGAGGAGGACGAGAAGAAGAAGAGGAGGAGAAGAGAAGAAAAAGAAGAAGAAGAAGAAGAGGAGGAGGAGAAGAAAAAAAUAAGAAGGAGAAGAAGGAGGAGGAGGAGAAGAAGAAGAAGAAGAAGAAGAAGAGAAGAAAUAAAUAAUAAGAAGAAGAAGUAAAGAAGAAAAGAAGAAGAAG
rnacentral:lncRNA from 1 species